rnacentral:lncRNA from 1 species
UUUUUUUUUUUUUGUUUAAACUGUUUUGAAGCAAGCUGGUAACACGUCAAUCCUUCAAGAAUUCAAAAAUUUGAGGUUUGUAGAGUAAGAAUCCAAGAUUCUGUUAAGAUCAAAAUCCAAUUGGCCCAAGGUUCAAGAGAUCCGACUUUCUUUGUGCAAGAACUUCAAAUUCGGUUCUAUUUUUUUUUGUUGUGAUCCAAGGACCAAUUGUCCAGCAGGUUUGUUCAAGAAUCAAGACAAUCAGUUCAGGAAUAAAGCAAAGGUGCGGGAUAUAUAUAUAUUUUGUAUGCAAACCAGAAAAUAACUUCAACAACUCAAGGCACGGCUGGCACAAAACGGACACCACGACAACCGACAACCCUAGCAACUCAACAAGAACCAAGAAAGGAAUUAAAGUCGGCUGAACAGAAUUGACACGCACACGACUCAAUACGAAAAAACAAGUAAGAAUUUUCUGGACAGCAACAAAACAGAAACAGACGCGACACCGAGAUGGAGAAAUCUCCGACACAAUGACCAGAAUUGAAAACAAUGAAGACUUACGGACAGUUUGUAGUGGUGUGAACAGAUUUUUUUUUUUUUUGUGUGUUUUGACUCAGGUUGGGACUUACUUACGACAACAACAAGAUGUUGAACAACAGACAGGCACAAGCAAUCAAGGAAAUGACUCGAUCAGAUUGGUCCAUGCAAGGGAACAAUGUCAAGUGCGGCAAACAACAAUUCCUAUGGCGCGAUAUCCUAUGACUACUAGCACCGUUUGACACUUCAAUUUACUGGUCCCAAGCGGUGGAGACAGCAACAGCAAGACAUGACCAGAUUUUAUCAUACAAGAUUCAACAGAAAUUGGUAAAAAAAAACAAGACACGGACAGAUUGCUACGAGCGAAUUUUUUUUUUUUUGUUUGAACUAACGAGACGGAGACGAAUUAAGACACAAAGAGAGGGAUAACGAUAUUACCAACAAGCUAGCUCUGAUGCCAGCUGAUACGAAUCUCGUUGGUGAGGAGAUUCGGGACCCAAGAUCGCUUGUUGGAUUUGACGUCGGAUGCAAGAAACGGUGGCAGCGGAAACCCUACGACCCCUCUAAUCCCCGUGACUACGAACUUGUUGAUACUAUCUCAACCCGUAAUCAAACGAAUUAGUGAACCUCAGGCAAGUGUAGAAGGCGCCACAAUUCAAGUGCGAUUCUUGAAUUGAUAAGCCGAACAAGAACACUAGAGUAUAACUCUAAGUUGUUCAAGGUUUGCUCGAAAGCUAUGGAGAAAACUCUCUCAAUAUUUUUAUCAUAAAAGUGUGUCCCUUUGUGGGAGUAAUGGGGUGCCUUAUAUAGGCUACAAGUAAAACCCUAAUCUAAUAAGGAAAAGGAACUAACUAAUGACUCUCCAAUCACAAUCACAAUUAAGGCUAGCUAAUGGUCAGCUUAUAAAGCUGGCCCAACAUAACCCAAUAAAAGCUAAUUCACCAACUUAAGUAAUAGUGAGCCUAGACUCUAUAAAUCGGAUCCAACUCAACAUGAGGUCUUGGACCGAACUUAUUCCUACCAAAUAAAAUAGAAAUCUGCAAAAAAAACUACUACACUAUUACUAAAAGAUUCAUUCUCUUGCAGCCCGAAACAUGGCCCAUAAGCGGCCCAUAUUUCAUAUCAGAGUGAGUCCUAGCGAAAGAUGGGCAGGCGACCCGCCGAAUCCUGGGGUACGCCCUAGGGGGAGGUGGGGCCGUCACCGGAACUAAGAUUCGUGACUAGAUUUUUCUUUUUAUAGAAAAGAUACGAGCGUGCUAAGGUUAAGAAGCCAUACUCGUCCAUAUCCCAUAUUUAAGGAUACUCCCUAAUCUAAUCAAGCAAAUGAUCUAAUCUAGUUCUAAUUUGCUUAAAUGGAAUGCAAGUCUACGUGUUAUGUUUUGCACAUAGGGAUAAGGGAUAUACAUAGGGGAAAUAUCAUACAAAAUGAUAAGGAUCCUAAAAAGUAGAAAAAUAUGCAUGAAAUGUAGUGAUUUGUCACGCAAACAUGAUCUAACGCGUGGAUGGUCCCUAAGGGUCUAGCGUUGGACUAGUCUAUGUAUAUAAGUUUUCACUAGUGUUGGACUAGCGAGAAAACGGAAAAAAGGACCACAACUAGCGUUGAACUGGUGUGGUGACGUUAUGCAUUUAUUAUAAUCAAAUAAAUCAUAUAAAACAUAAUAAAAGCAAAUAAACACAAAAAUCACAUAUAGCACAGAGCACAUAAGCAUGAUAUCUAGAUGCAAAGAUCCUAAGAAAGUGAUUAAACACACAAGCAUGCAAACACAAAAAAAAUAAAAGCGAAUAAAGACCAAACUAUUACAAUUUGGGGCCCUAAUUACAAUCUAAAGGGGUAAAGAAUGAAAUGAAAUAAAAUAAUAACCUAACUAUUACAAUUUGGCAUUUAAAUGCCUCUCAAAUAACCAAAAAUUAAAUUAAAAUAAAUAUACAAAAUUAAAACAAAUAAAGUGAAUAAAUAAAUAAAUGAAAUAAAAAAUAUUCAAAAAAAAGCAUGCAAUUACACACAUAAAAUCACACAGGAGCAUAUAGGAUUAAAUAAAAUCAAAAUAAAGGAGUAGGGUGUACCUCCCUUGAAUUGGUGAUCUAAUGAAAUGAAAUUUCUCUUAUUUACCCACCAACACAAAAAAAAUGAUUAAGGCACCACUUUAAUUAACAAAUAAUCAUAAGAGAUGGAAAUAAACAUGAAAUUGCAUCAAUUAAAAUAUUUAAAUGAAAGUAAACAACCCAUAUUCAAGAAAUUUAAAACAAGUGGGCACUUAAUUGGACGAAUUAAAGAAGUUUGAGGGGUCCAAUUAUUAAUAUUAAAAAUUUAGGGGUCAACAUUAAAGACAAAUGAAUUUAAGGGUUCAAAAUAAAGCCUUCCAAACCUAAUCCUAAAAUUCACAAAAUCAAAUAUCCACAAAAUAUUAUCCAAGUCUUUAAAUCUUUUGAUAAAACCCAAAUCAAAAUUAUAAAUCUGUAAAAAUUAUUAAACCUUAAAUUUCAUCCUAAAACUCAUAAAUAAUCUGUCCAAAAUCAAAUUAAAACAUGCCAAGGAAAGUUAACAUUUUAAAAGGACAAAAUUUGAUUGAUUUUUCCAAUUUUUCGGAACAUACCGGCAUUAGAUAAAAAUUAAGGGAUCAAAGUAAAAUUUUUAGAACUUUUUGCAUGCAUCUUCGAAGAAGCUUUUUGCAGCUGAAGCUUUCUACAACUCCUGAAGCCUUUCAACAACCUUAUGCGGCCAAACAACAAAAAAUUUAACAACAACAAGGAUCCAACCUCCAAGUUCCCAUUAAGUUUCAUAAGCUCAUCAUCAAGAUACCAUGUUAUGCACACAAGAGAGAGGGAAAUCAGUAAUGUGGGGAGAAGCUUGCAAAUUCCAGAUUUAUUCAAAAGCUUUUCCACCAGUUUCUGGGUUCAUCUUUAUCAAGCUUCGCAUGAGUCAUCUGGUAAUGAUUUAAUGGUCGGAUGGACGUGAGGUUCCCCCAGGAAGCGCUCGUUGUUUGCUGAAGCGAAACCAAGAAAGUUUGCUACAAAAAUUUCAACCUUGGUGAGCAGACUACUUUGAGCAGCAAUUCGGACGUCUUCCCAACGUUAUUUCGAAAGAAUCUCUACAUGAAAGUUGAAGCUCUGCCUCUGUAGAUAUCCCAGAUGUCCGAAACCAUCCAAGAAGAAGCCGAUUCAAUGGAGAAAAUUGCCUUCCAAAGUGACGAAAAAUAAGCCUGAACCCUAAAAAACAACUUCUGAAAAAAUGCUCUUCCUUCUGUUCUUUCUUUUGCCUUUCUUUUAGCUUUCAUUUCCUUUGCUGUUUUCUCUUCAAAUCCUCCCCAGACUUCCCCCUUUCUCUGUUUUUCUCCUUUUUCUUUCCUUUCUUUUCUUUUUUCUCUCUUUUCCCGAAACCCUCUUCCUCACUUUUUCUGGUUUUUUUCAGUUUCCCUCUUGUUUCUCUUGCUUUCCACAGUCUCUCUCUCUUUCCCCCUUACUCCCCCAGAUUCUCCUCUCUCUUCUCAAUUUUCUCCUUUUUCCUUCAGCCGUUACUUUCCUCAAUCCCUCCUCCCUUCUCUCGAAUUUUUUUUCUUCCUUUUCCUUUGUUGCCCGUAGCUUUUCUUUUCUUGUUCCCAGAUUCCCUACCAAAGCCUCUCCUCUCUUAUUUUUUCCUAAUUUCCAGAUUUUUCCUCAAUUAAACAAGUGUCUUGCCACCUAAUCUAGCAAGUGUUGUGGUGUCAAAAGAAAUCAAAGACACAUGUUGAUGAGAAUAUAAAGACCAAGGCCCAUUCAACCACACGGGGAAUUGGAAGAUUCAAGUAAAGACCAGUUGAUUGCACGAAUACUUGAGUUUAGUAGGAUUAUUUGAUUUCCUCGUUGAUUUUGGUUAUUUCUCGCUUUAGAAAGUCUAGGUAAUUAAGCUAGUUUAAUUGCGGCCCAUUUGUUAGUAAGUGAGGCCCAAAAUCUUCCUUAAGUAUGUAGGGUAGUUUGGUCAAUUUUUGGAUUAGGGUUAAUGCUUGUAAGGGCUAUAAAUAGCCCCACUUCCUCUUUGUUUUGUGAUCAGUUUUUGGCUAUUAAAUACGAUUAGUGAGUUUUCACUUUCUCUUUGGCAAGAGAGUUUCCUUUGAAUACUUGAGAAUCUUCUCAAGUUAUUCACCCGAACUUAUCAAUCGAGUAUCUCCUUGAUUGUGGCGCUCUACUACCCCCAAUUUGGUUCGUUAAUUCGAGUAGUUACGGGUUGAGAUAAUAUCAAAAUUGUUUGUGACUUCUAGGGAUUAGUUGGGUCAAAUUUCCCCUGCCUAAGCCAUGGUGUUUUGGUUGUCUAGAUCGGGGUUUCACAUCAGUUGGUACCAGAGCUAGUCGACAACCACCAGGUUAUAUCUUUUUUUUUCUUUCGUUUAUUUCGAGUCAUAUAUGUUUAUCCCCAAUCUGUUCAUUUGUUUAAAACCAAAAAAAAAAAAAAAGAGUCACUGUUCACCGAUACUGUUCAUAGUUACUGUUCAUCCGAAUACAAAAUCUGUCCAGCCUUGUUGUUUGUGUUAUCCAACUUGUUUACUUGGUUUUCAAAUCUGGAUUUUGGCAAAACUUGUUGGAAUUUUGUGAAUCUUGAAGAGAACUUACAAUAAUCUUGAGCUUCUUGCAUUCUUGAUCACAAUCUUGAAAUUUAUGAAGUUCCUGACAACUUCCUUGAAAGUUCUUGAAAGAUCUUGGAGUUCUUGGUAGUUAUUAUUUGUGGACUUCCUUGUUUUGUGUCGUGGUUGAUAGUUGUAUUCAAGAAAAAAAAAACAGAAAACAAAAAUGAAAAGAAAAAUAAAGAAAAGAGGAAUCGGUUGGCAAGAAAAAAAAAAGGAAAGGAAAGAAAGUGGCAAUCGAAUUGUUUUGAAUAGGGAACCAAAUCUGAUUUGUGCAAUCUUUCUUGGAGUAGAAUUUGGAAGUUACCAAAAGUUGUUUCAAGAAGAUUACCAAAGGUUGUUUCAAGAAGGUUACCAAAAGUUGUUCAAGAGGAAAAGGAUUUUCAAAGGGUUUCCAAAAACUAACUUGUUUCCAAAAUCAAUUAGGAAACUAAGUAAAGCACUUGGAUAACUCUUUGUACUCACUUGGACACUCUCUCUCCUACCUUGUUAGGAAACUUUUCCAAACUCUCUCAUCCAUUUUUUUUUUGGAAACUUUCCUAAAUUCUCUCAUCCAUUUUUUUUAGGAAACUUUCCUAAAUUCUCUCAUCCAUUUUUUAGGAAACUUUCCUAAACUCUCUCAUCCAUUUCUUUUGGAAACUUUCCUAAAGUCUCCCAUCUAUUUUUAGGAAACUUUCCUAAAUUCUCUCAUACAUUUUUAGGACCUUUCCUAUAUUCUCUCAUCCACUUUAGGAAACUCUCAUAUAUUCUCUCAUCUACUUUAGGAAACUCUCCUAUAUUCUCUUCCUAGAUUUUAGGAACACUCUCCUACACUUUCUCCUAUAUUUUCUCCUAGCUUUUAGGAACACUUCCCUACACUUUCUCCUACAUCUCCGUGACUACUCUUGAGGAAGAAGUUGGUGACAAUUAUUUGGGCUUGAGCAGCAUUUCUCAAACUACCUAACCCAACAGGUAAAGGUGUUUGGUAAGUCCAUUGGAGCGCUUUGAGUGACAUACACGAGGGUGAGUGAUACACUAAGGGAGUGAGUGAGGCAGUUUCUACUAACUGUUUGUUGAGCCUUGCAGGUACUCUAUAAACAUGUCUCAAACUCAUGCGACAAGUGACCCUUAUGACAUGAAACAUGUUCUUGAAGCAUUAACAGGCGCCAUUGAUCGCAUGGCUCAGAGAAUUGAUACACUGGAGGAUAAGGUGGAGCAAUCAACCCUAGGCAAGAAUGCCUCCAAGAGACAACCAUACGUGGAGGAGUUAGGUGAUUCGAACAAUGAGGAGGACAUGGCAGAUGGAAACCGAUUCCGGAAUUAUAAACGCAUCCCUAAUCAAGGGGAUGAUGAACUAAAGGGAAUCAAGCUCAAAAUUCCUACCUUCCCAGGCAAGUCGGACCCUGAAGCAUAUUUGGAAUGGGAGAGGAAGAUUGAGAUGCUCUUUGACUGCAACCACUACUCAGAGUCCCAAAAAGUAAAGUUGGCAACCAUUGAGUUCACUGAAUACGCAGCCGUUUGGUGGGAUCAGAUUCGCACCAGACAAAGGAGAAAUGAAGCACCACUCAUUCGCACCUGGGAAGAACUCAAAAGGAUCAUGAGGAAGCGCUUCAUACCAGCGUAUUACCACAGGGAUUUGCACCAUAAAUUGCAAACUCUCACCCAAGGUAGUAUGACGGUUGAGGAUUACUUCAAGGAGAUGGAGAUGGCUGUUGACCUUGGUCGAUCAAUCCUUGGUUUUGAUGAUUAACAAACUAAAAUGUAGAUUUGGGCUAAUAUUUUUAUGUGAGCAAUUUGUUAGAACAGAUUCUUGUGGCACAAAAGAAGAAGCAAAAACAGGGCACUCAUGUGGGACGUCCGAAAGGAAGCUAUCGGACGUCCGAAAGGAUGAAGAACAUCAAGAAGGAAACUCUGUCGGACGCUCGUGAGGAAGCAUCGGACGUCCGGAAGGAUCGGACGCACGCAUCGGACGCACAUCGAUCGCAUCGGACGUCCGAGAAAUUUCGCAAAGAUUUGAUGACUCUCUGACGACGUUCGGACGCAUGGUUCGGACGUCCGACAGGUGGUUUGGACGCAGGGUUCGGACGUUCGACAGGUGGAUCGGACGUCCGACAGGCCAACGGCUAGUUUUGACAGCAUUUAAUAUUUGACCGUUGACCGUUGGAGAGCCUUUUGGAGCCAUUUCUCACCUUCUAUAAACACCCCAAAGCACAAGAAGACACAAGACUUUUGCCAACACAAAAUACAAGCUUACAAGUGAGAUUUUUGAGUAGAAAGAUUCUUUGUUGGUUGUAUAAGGGGUUGGGGAAGUUGGGUUGUGAGGUUGCUCAAGUGAAGGUUACUCUCUAGGUGGAGUAAAACCUUGGUGAAGGUGAACCUAUCACUUGAAGUGGUAAAACCUUGGUGAAGGUUGCCUCAUUUGUAUAAAAUAGUUCUUAAUUGGGUGAGUGAUCUUUCAAGUGUAGGUUGUUGAGGGUUAACUAGAAUUGUUGUAAAACUCCUUGGCUCAACCAAAGUGUGUUUGGGGUGAGGAAGGAGUGAGCAUUCACUUGUACAUCUUGGUUAGCAUCGCCAUCAAUUGAAGAGGCUAUUGGUUUGAUAUUUGGUUUGCAUUUCUUAUCCUUUUUCUUUAAUUAAGUUUUCUUUAUUGUGCUUAAAUUUGAUAUAUCUUUGUGCAUCAUUGUGAAUUUGUUUGUACUCAUUGGGUUGCACCGGGCACUUACAAUUGGUAUCAGAGCUUGGUCUCUUUUGAUCAAGCUUAACCGCUUAGAGUAAAGAUCAUGGCAACCAUAAAAGUUUCUUUUUUAGAAGGGCAAUCUAUUGAUAGACCACCUAUGUUUAAUGGUUCUCAUUUUAGCAUGUGGAAACAAAGAAUGAUGAUUUUCUUACAAUCUGUUUACAUUGAAUUAUGGUAUGUGGUAGAAGAUGCUCCUUAUGAAGCUAGAAUAGUUGACUCUAUCACCAAUUUGAGUAGAUUAAAGACUAGACAAGAAUUGAAUGAAAAAGACAAGAGAUACCUUUCUUUGAAUGCCAAGGCCAUGUGUAUAUUGUACAAUGCAUUAGAUGUAAAUGAAUCUAGUAGGAUUAAAGGUUGUAAAUCAGCUAAAGAUAUUUGGGAUAAAUUGUGUGUAUUUCAUGAAGGUAACCAAGAUAUUAAAGAACAAAAGAAAUCUUUGCUUGUUUCUCAAUAUGAAUUUUUCAAAAUGCAUCCUCUUGAAAAUGUUGAUGAGAUGUGUAGUAGAUUUUGUGACAUUAUUGAAGAUCUUAAAUUGCUUGGAAAAGAAUAUUCUUUUGGUGAGAAAAAUAGAAAGAUUUUGAAUGCCUUGCCAAAAGAAUGGGAAAACAAAAUAAAUGCUAUAGAAGAGGCAAAGGAUUUAAAUUCUAUAUCCAUUGAAUCUCUUGUGGAUACCCUAACCUCUUAUGAAUUAAAGCUGAAAUUCAAAGUGCAAGAGGAAGAAAAUGCAAGAAUGUAUAAGAGAGGCAUAGCUUUUAAAGCAUCUCAAGUGGGGGAUAACCCAUCCUUCAUGGGUAAUGAAAUCAUGGAAGUGGACAAUGAUAUAACUCCUCACAUCAAAAGUUUCAAGAAGAUCUUCAACAAGAGAUGCUCAAGAGGAGAUUGCAAAAUUACAUGGGAUGAAUGCAAUUCAAAAAGAGAAAAAGAAGAGUUGGCCCAAAUGGCACUAAUGGCCGUUGGAGAAGAUGAGGUAAGUUCUUAUCACUCUUCUUGUGAUGAAGAUAAUGAAGAUGAUGAUGUGAAAAUUCUUAUGAUUAAAAUGCAUAAAAGUUUGAGAAAAUCUUAUGCUAAAAAAAAAGAUUUGAAAACAAAAAUAAAUGAUUUGUUGGAAGAAAACUCCAAACUUUUUCAAGAAAACAAAUGUUUGAGAAUGGAAAAUGAUGAUUUAAAAAAUCAAAAAAGUGUUUUUGAUUGCAAAAAUAAUUUGAAAAGGAAGUUGGAAGAGAAAACAAAAUUUUAUGAAAAAAUAUUGGAGGAACAAAAUGUGUUAAAGAAAAGAAUUAAUGACUUGAACGAGUUUCUCCAAAAUGAAAAACAAACGUUUUCUCAAACAAAAGAAAGAAAAUCUUUUCAAGGUACAAAUAAGUUUGCUAUGAUAAGAAGUAAGAAAAUUAGUUGCAUUAAAUCCACCUAUGUGCAAAAUACUUCUAUCAUGUGUCACUUUUGUUGCCAAUUUGGACAUAUGCAAAAUGAUUGCUAUGUAAAGAAAAAUAUGAGAAAAGGUAUGAAAUCCAUGUGGAUUGCUAGAUCAUGUUGUACUAACUCCCAAGAACCCUAUAAAAAAUUACAAUUGGUAUCAUGAAAGUUUUGUCAUUCUAUAUGGUCUUGAUUUGAAAAAUAAAGGGGGAGUUUGCUUUUUGAUUGAUGUCAAAAGGGGGAGUAGGAUUUAUUGAAAUUUCUUUGUAUGUUGGCAUUUUUUAAGGGGGAGUUUUAUUUGAACUUAUUUGAUCAAAGAAAUCUUCAUUUUGUUUGUCAUCAUCAAAAAGGGGGAGAUUGUUGACCUUGGUCGAUCAAUCCUUGGUUUUGAUGAUUAACAAACUAAAAUGUAGAUUUGGGCUAAUGUUUUAUGUGAGCAAUUUGUUAGAACAGAUUCUUGUGGCACAAAAGAAGAAGCAAAAACAGGGCACUCAUGUGGGACGUCCGAAAGGAAGCUAUCGGACGUCCGAAAGGAUGAAGAACAUCAAGAAGGAAACUCUGUCGACAAUGGACUUGAUGAACUGAUGUGAUGAUGUUGGGUGUUGUUUAUGUUGAUUUAGUGAUUAAACUAGUGAUUAUAAGUUGAAAAGUGGAAAGAAAACUCAAAGGAAGUGAAAUGGAAGAAGGGCCGGUUCUGCCCUGUCUUUACCGUGCCCAUUGGUGCGAUUUUUUGUGGUUAAAUUGACUUGUUUUUGAUGUAGAUAUGUUGUAUAGGUUGUGUGGAAAUUUUCCACCAAAGAGUACAUACCAUAACCCUGUACCGGUAAUUCCCAUUUUCCUGCACCAACAAUAGAAAUCUACGAUUCGAAACCCAAAAUGUUUGGAAUUUAAAAGGCUUUCAUACAGCAGUACUACUAGGCCACAGACUCAAUAACAAUGGGGAGUGGUUAGAGGUGGCGCGGUUGAGAUGUUGGACAGAAGUGUUCGGCAAGAAGCUGAGCCAUUGCUAAUUGACUAAUGCCCGAUCCAGUCGAUUCCAGAUCCUGGUAUCUGCUCUGAUACCCGACCACGUAUAUGAGCUUCCGGAGUAAGGUAGCUCCAAGAGGCAAGAAUUAGAAAUUGAUGUGUUAAAAUUAGAGAUUGCUCCAAGAUCUUGAGCUUCCCUACCCCUAUAUUCCGCAAUCGUACUGAUAACAUUAAAAUCUCCCACUAACCAUGGCCUUGUGAUCUAUCCAGCGAUAGAACUCAAUUUCGGCCCUGGUACAUUUGGCAUAUAUAAAUGAUGCAUAAAUUGUCUCGGUCCAAGAGUUAUGUCCCGCCAUAACAUGAAGAAUUUGUCUGAGUUAUAGAGCACAUUAAAAUGAAAAUAGAUCUCUGAAGGACCCAGAUUUUAUUUGAUGAAUUGAAUAAACAAAUAUGAAAUGAAACUUUGUGAGACCCCGUAAAUUUUCUCAGUUUCUAGGUUUUAUUUUAUUUAAUUGCAUGCUUUUCUGCAUUUUCUUUAUUAGAAAAUUUUCUAGAUAAUUUUUAUGAGUAAAUAUAGUUUUUAGAUGAUUUUUCUAGUAUCGGUUAGUUUUUGAGAAAUUAAGGACGUAUAUCGGACGUGGGACCCGCUAGUGCGGAAAGUUCGGUAAAAUUCGGCCAGUUAGGUUAAGUUUUGGAUACUGGGUUUAAUUUAUCGGGUGUUAUGACAUAAUUAGAGGAUACCAUAUGGAUUAGAAUUGAGGAAACAAAGGGAUAUGCAUGCAUUAAAUAGGGUGACAAGUGUCACCAUAUGAUUAAGUCUUACUUUUGACCACUAUUCACCUUUUACCAAAUAAAUAAAAAAUUGACCCAAAAUCACCCAAAAUUUACAAGCUUGUGGCCGGCCCUCUCCAAGGAAAAAACAAAGGAAAAGCUCUCCAAUUUCUUGCUUCAAUCUUGCUCAAAUCCAACAAACCAACCGUUUAAUCUUGCAUUUACUCCAUAAAAACCCUUAAGUGAGUGGUUGUGAGGUGAUUAGUGAAGUUGUUUGGAGGAUUAAGGUGCUAAGUUGCUCUUGUUCUUGGGUUGUUAAGGUGAGUAACUAAGGGAGCUUUCUUGCAACUCAAUAAUGCUUAAUUAUUGACAUGUGUGAGGUGAAGUGAUGAUUUUAGGUGUUGUUUCAUGACUUUUGGUAGAAUUUGGUGCAUUUUCUAAUUAAUCAUGAUUUUUUCUGUUUUCAUAUGAUUACUAUUGUGUGGCCAUGUAUGAUGGUUGGAAAUGAUCUAGAAUGGAGCUAGAAUGCGUAAAUUGUGGUUGUUUGCGGAAAAUUUCCGCAUUGAACGGAAAAAUUCGGAUUUAGGGUUUCAAUUCAACCAUUCUGCCUGGUACUGUUCCUCAUAGUUAGAGGCCGAAUUAUCCUUGGGUUAAAACAUGAAAGUUUUAGGGAAUGAUAUUUUAUAGUUGCCUGAAAAAUUUCAGGCCAAUCGGAGUAACGUAGCCUGUGAAAGGAUCAAAAUACCCCUGCUGCCCUGUUUUUGUCCGAACUUGGUAAUCAGCUUUGGUAAUGGUUAGUUUGAUUGGGAAUACGAUUGAUUUGGUUGUUGAUGUCUUCUUAAGAAAUAUAUCCUGGUAUCUUAGCUUUCGGAUGGUUUUGGAAUCACUUGAAUUGGACUUAGGUAGCCUGACUUAUGAUGAUUUAACCAGAAUGCGGUUUAUUAACCUGUUUAUGCAGUUCUGGUUUGGUAUAUUGAUCUUUUGACCUAGUUACACUACAAACUGGACUGAGUGGCCUUCUUCAACAUUUUAGCCCUAUCUUUUAGCUUCGAAACGGUGUAUAGUAUACAUCCAUCCGAUACUGUAGUCGCCAGUUGUGCCCAAUAUGCUUAAUGGUGUCAAAACUAUUUUAGGUCUUAGAGCUUAACUUUCAUUUCCGGAUUUUCCUUAGCUUACUUUAGUACUUAUACGUGCUAAUGAAGCCUUAUUUUCGGUAGUAUGUGGAAAUUGGUUUAUAACUUGUAAUCGAGUCUUAUUAUUUGAAUAUUUAGGGCGUGACGGUGAUUCAAGACGCUCUUUGGGCGGAAGUAUAUGAAAUAUCAUUUGCUUGCUUGGUGAGUAUACUACUCACUUGUUUGUUUACAAUGUGGCUUUGUUAUAUUUGAACUUGAUGCCUUGAAGGCUUAUUUGCACCGGUGAAACUGAUUAAAGUGAGGUGUACUUGAUCGCCCUCACCCCUUUUUAUUAUAUAUGACUGUUAACUGUGGUACUUGAAUAGUACAUGAAACACUGGAUUGGGUGUCGUAUGGACGAGUAUCCAACAGCCAUUACUGUACACUGAGCUCAACCCAUUGGUAGUCGAUUGAUCGAGCAGGCGAGGGCUUGGUCGUGAAAUUGACGAGCCAUGGGGAUUGUUAUAUGGAAUCCUGUAGUAUGAGACUCUCGAUUCCGGUAUACUCGAGUAUUACCAAAUUUACACUGUUUGGAGUUCGGGCCCGGUAGGGGAAUGUUGGUGGAAGGAAUGGAAGUAAAGUGGAGCUACGGUUGGUUACUUUGUAAACAUUGACGGAGGGUCAAUGAAGUCCGAUCAAGUAUACAAGCGAGGAAAGGGGCUCUUGAGAGCCGUCCGUAUCCUUUUACCCAUUUUUUAAUGUGUGAUCUGGGUUUACUUCUUUAUUGAACGCUUUAUGCCUAUAUGAAAUUGGUUGCUUGAGUGAUAGUAACUCACUAGGCAUAAGCUCACUCUAUUCCUUUUGUUUUCCUUACAGGAAUAUAAACACUUUUGGAAAGUCCAUGAAUGUUGGUUGCCGAGUUGAACUUAUGUGAAUGAAAUUUUGAAUAGCUCUUUUGAGCAAACUCUAAGCGCAUUUUGAUCCAACCAAAAAUGUUGAGUUGUAAUUUGCAAACCGUACUUGUAAAACUUGUUGACAACUUGGGUAUGCCCUUUUGUAUGUAAAUGCUAAAUUUCAAGAUGUAUAUGUUUGAUUGAUGCUUGGUUGGAUUUUGACGUGUCGGUUACUAUUCAUGGCCGACUCUGUUUUCAUUUUUUUAUUUUGUAAUUUUGACUUGACUAAGCGCGCUUGUAUGUUCUGGAACGUGCUAGAUCGCUUUACACUGUCCCGUUAGUCCUGGCGAGAGCUGGGCAGGCAGUCCGCUAACCCCUUCGGUUCGUCUUAGGGGAAGGUGGGGCUGUCACAAAAUUAGCACGCAAGGCUCUAUAUUAUACGCCUUCGCCAAAGCCUCUAAAGAAAGUGCUAAAAUGGCAAUAUUAUGUAGUCGGAGUAAGAAUCGCAAGCGACGAAUAGAAGAUUUGCCCGUCGCUCCCCGAAUGUUCCAAAUGAGUAGGUUAUGCAUUGGUGAGAGGCUGCUGUGGUACCUCAAUGGCUCUAGAAGAUUGUCUUGUUAGAAUCUGCCAGGGUAGUCGAACAUAGACCCUGCACUUCCUUGACUUCCGCGAAAGCACCAUGGUGAAAUCCUCCUCAUCGUGAUCCAUUGCUGGUUGAGGCAGACGCAACUCCAAGGCGUUGCUAAACUGCUAGAAAGAUUGGACCAGUGUCUUCCUAUCAGUUACUUGUCUCGGCCUGUCCUCUCUAUCCGAGAGAGACCCGUUUGGAGGUGUCACCUCCCAUUCGUUUGGAUUGAGUUGCAUAUCAUCACAGAUAUUCCCUAAAGUUGGUGGGAUCUCAGGAAUCACCAAUUCUGCGUUUUCGGAGAUCUGCUGCAUCGAAUCAGCUUGUUGAUCCUUUGUCUGGUUAGCUUCAUCCCUCACCUCCUCCUGGAGCUGUACAGUAACAUUCAAAUCAUUAUCACGCCUCUCUCUUUCAUGCUGCUCAGCCAUCAUAGCCUCCUUCCCCUUUGGGACGUAGGCCACACGCUGCUCACGACCCUGCAAGUUGUCUCGCUUGUCUUGAGUGUGCCGACAAUCCGAACUGGAAUGUCCCUGUCGGCUGCAAAUUGAGCAGUAAGACGGCAGGUUCUCGUAAGCUACGUUCUGCCAGAAACUGUGACUACCUGUUCCAAUCCAGACACGACCAGGAUGGUCCUUUGAGACGUCAAGAUUGACACAUACACAAGCCACAUUGGGGUGGGUUACCGUCGUUGAAUCCAAUUUGAGGGGGUGCCAAUUGCACUAGCUAUUGAAAAUAGCGAAGCUUUAUCGAAGAAAUGAAUCGAUAGUUGCUCAAAUAAGAUCCAAAAUGGUGUAUGGGAGAAUUCACUGGUAAGUUAAAAAUCAGGAGACCACUUGAAGACACGCAUGGGGGAAAUCUGCUAUGUUCCGUAGUCCUUUCAUCCAACACCAUAGGUAGUCUUCCUCCAACCAAAAUCGGAUAAGAAUAAGGGUGCAGCCAUCUUGGCAAUAUCAUCCUUAGAGAACAUGAUUGUGGGUUCCCCUUUGAACUGAGAGAUGGGCUUGAUCUUGCAUGGAGACAGCAUCAACUGAUCUUGAAGGACUUCAGCAAAGGAACGACUAGUUCCUCCUCCAAGCGGCUGGAGGUCAGCCAUGGGCUAAACCCUAAACUUCCUAAUUUAGAAAGAGGAUGGCAAAACCCUAAUAACACAUACAAGCAACUUUCAUAGACUUUAAUUGGAAGUAAACCCCCCCCCCCAAUUUUCUUAUUCUUUUGAACUAAUUAAAUCAUUAUAAUAGUCACCUUCUGUAUCUUGUUCUUUGUCAUUUAUUAAUAAUGCUAUUAACUUAUUUUUAUUUUCAUCUUCUUCUGCACAUAUUUCAUUUAUCUUUUUAUUUUAGUUUGCAUUUGUCUACUUUAUGACCUAUUUUUCUACAUUUCCAACAUACAAUCUUAUUUCUCCAGAAUUUCCCUUUAUUUUUCUUUUUAUAAUAAGGUUCAUUACUAAUGUUUUUCUUAUUCUAAUAAGCCAAUUCUAUUUCAUAUUGUAUUUAAAGUUCCAUGGAUUUUCUGUUGGGGUUUUAAAAUUCAUCAAGAAUUAGAAAAACCAUUUCCAAUGUCCUUAAUUCGAGAAUUCAAAGUCAAAUGGUGGGCCGGAUUCAAUUUAGAUCUAUGUGACCAAGAAAAUUUCCUCAAAUUUUUAGAAACAGGAGAAAAAUUCAAAUGGUCAUUUCAUCAGAUUUUAAAAGGAAGCACUCCAAGCAUACCUCAGAAGAAAGAACAAGCAUCACAAUCAGAUUUGACAGCAAAUGAAUUUCUACGAAAAAAGAUGAUGGAGAAUCCUGAAAUAUUACAAGAAUAUAUGAGCUACCUACAAAAUCAGUAAAGAAGACAAAUGAGUCAGCGAGUUCCUCAUCGGAUUCCACUUUUGAUCCAUACGGUGGACCAUGUGCACAAGACCCAAAUGGUAUUUAGUCGAAAGAUGUUGGCCAUUUUCAAAAGCAAAUAAGAUGCAAUCUCCAAAGCACCAAUCAAAAGAAGAUAAGAGUAUCGACACCAAUCAGAAGAUGAUAAGAAUGUCAGAAUGCAAAUUCAAAUGAAAUUCAAAUGCAAGUGUUAGUUUACAAAUGAAAUUCAAAUGUAAUAUUCUGAUAGCUAUAAAUAACUUUCAAAACAAGAAUGAAAGUAUCGAGUGUUUAAAACAACAAGUGUUCUAAGUGUUCUUCAUUAUGCCCUUCUCUUGUAAUCUUGUUUUCAAUAAAAUUCUGAAGUUUACAUUCAAUUUAUAUUACGUCAUUUUAAAGAUCAAAUCCUCAAGGCUUCUACAAUUUUUAAAACUACUAACAUUUGCUCACUCUCUCUUGGAAGACUUCUAAUCUUUUGAGUAUGUGCACCAUAAGGAAGAAUUCAACCUUAUCACCUUCAUAGACAUCUAGUAGUAUAUUUGAAAUCUUCAAAAGCCAUUCUUUCUAUGAGAAGAAAGAUCAAUGGGCUUAUUAUGAUGAAGCAUUGGCUUACUCAAAGUGGCCAGAAUAGUUCCUUCUACAAGGAAUAAAUCAAGAAGGAGACAAAAAAUACGAGUAGUGUUAUUUGUUGAAUUUGUAGGAAAAUUGGAUUCCAAAGCACAAGGGUCAAAACCAAGGACUCCAAAAGACUAUGAAAUGUCUAUCACUCAAAUACCCACAACUCCUAAUAGAUUUCAAUCACUCCAAGACUUUUCAGCUUUAAGCUAUAUUCAAGCAGCCAAAAAUCCAACUCCUUCAAAUACAAAUUUAAGUCCUUCUAAACCUUCCUCACCAAAUAAAAACAAUGAAAAUUCCACCUAUUUCACCAAGCCCUUUACUCAACAAAUUACCCUAACCAGAUUUCAAGAAGUACCACCAUAUAGUUCACUCACAAGUCUUACUCAAAGAUUAUUUCCUUUAAAAUGUUUCUGGCAACCAGAUGAUCAAGCAAAAAAUCUAGUCUAUUAUGAGUUAAUCCUCACGGACAUUAAUCAAUUGAAAUUUUAUCCCAUUCCAGAUAAAGAAAAACUUGAAAUAAUUAGCCAUUCCAAAUGUAUAAUAAAAAAGGUUUGUUUACGUAGUGAAUGUGUUACGACUGGAAAAUUCGCUCAUAUUUUCUUAAAAAGUUUCCUCUUAUUUUGAUUAAAUUACUUUAUAAUAUCUUUACUACUCAUUUACUCCCUCAAUAGUUGUAAUAAAUAAUAGAAUUAAGAGUUUUGCCCUUAGUUUUAUAGUUAGGGUAAAUUAGGGUUUUCACGUAUUUUGAUAGUGUGAUUAAUUGUGGAGGAGUGUGUACUAAAUUUGGUGGUUAAGAGUGAGUUUUAGAUAAGAGGAAGUGUGUGAUUAGAAGUGCUAUUAAUAAGCUAGUGAACCAUAAGUAAAAACACAAGUACGCGCGAGUUAAGGAAAAUCAGCUUGAACCGCCGUGCACCGUUUGCUACCGAUUAAGUACACCACUUGAACACUACUUUAUUACCUUAAUGUCCUUGCUUUUAUUUCAGCUAAUCACCCCUAAAAUAUCCUAUAAGGUAGCCAAAAUUCUUGACUAAUUAAAGGGGAGAAAAGAAAAAAAAAAAGAAAAAUCUUAUGGUGCCAAGUGUUGGAAAGUUAGGGAUGGUUGACCAAGACAACUUCUUUCCUCUUAUCUUCCAUUUUGGCUCCUUGUCUUCCUCAUUUCUUCAUGUGGCCGAGUGCAAGAGAGGGAAAAAGAGAGAAAAAAAACUUCAACUCCAACCUUGAUUCUUCCUUGUUGAGUUGAAAUCAUACAAACCAAACCGAUUAAACUUACCUCUUGGUGCUUAAGAAGCUAGGAGUGGUGGAAAUCUUGAGGGAAAGUGCUUGGUUCUUCACUUAGCAACAAGUAUUGGAAGGUAUAAGGCUAAAACUUCCUUUUCUCUUGCUUAAUCUUGCUAAGUUUGGUAUAGAAGCUUUUAAUCUUGGCUUGCUACGGUUGAUUUUCUAGUUUUGAUGAUGGUAGUGGAAUUUUCAGCUAGGGUUUGUAUGGUCUAGCUUUGAUUAUUGAUGUUUAGCUAGCAAAUGUUGUUAUUGAGUUUGGAUAUGGAAUUUGUGAGAUGAUUAGUGGCUUGGUUGUGAUUUUUAGCCUUAAUAGUUGAAUUUCCACCAUUUUCCGUUCUGCCUUGUUUUUGGAAUCAGCUUGGGCUGCGAAUUUCUCCAUAUUUUAGACUGAAUCAGCUUUUGGACAAAAUAUGAAAUUUCAGAUCAAUUGGAUUAUUAUUUUAGAUUAUGAUUUGGCCAAUUGUUGACCUUGGUCGAUCAAUCCUUGGUUUUGAUGAUUAACAAACUAAAAUGUAGAUUUGGGCUAAUGUUUUUAUGUGAGCAAUUUGUUAGAACAGAUUCUUGUGACACAAAAGAAGAAGCAAAAACAGGGCACUCAUGUGGGACGUCCGAAAGGAAGCUAUCGGACGUCCGAAAGGAUGAAGAACAUCAAGAAGGAAACUCUGUCGGACGCUCGUGAGGAAGCAUCGGACGUCCGGAAGGAUCGGACGCACGCAUCAGACGCACAUCGAUCGCAUCGGACGUCCGAGAAAUUUCGCAAAGAUUUGAUGACUCUCUGACGACGUUCGGACGCAGGGUUCGGACGUCCGACAGGUGGUUUGAACGCAGGGUUCGGACGUCCGACAGGUGGUUCGAACGUCCGACAGGCCAACGGCUAGUUUUGACAGCAUUUAAUAUUUGACCGUUAGAGAGCCUUUUGAAGCCAUUUCUCACCUUCUAUAAAUACCCCAAAGCACAAGAAGACAAGGGACUUUUGCCAACACAAAAUACAAGCUUACAAGUGAGAUUUUUGAGUAGAAAGAUUCUUUGUUGGUUGUAUAAGGGGUUGGGGAAGUUGGGUUGUGAGGUUGCUCAAGUGAAGGUUUCUCUCUAGGAGAAGUAAAACCUUGGUGAAGGUGAACCUAUCACUUGAAGUGGUAAAACCUUGGUGAAGGUUGCCUCAUUUGUAUAAAAUAGUUCUUAAUUGGGUGAGUGAUCUUUCAAGUGUAGGUUGUUGAGGGUUAACUAGAAUAGUUGUAAAACUCCUUGGCUCAACCAAAGUGUGUUUGGGGUGAGGAAGGAGUGAGCCUUCACUUGUACAUCUUGGUUAGCAUCGCCAUCAAUUGAAGAGGCUAUUGGUUUGAUAUUUGGUUUGCAUUUCUUAUCCUUUCUCUUUAAUUAAGUUUUCUUUAUUGUGCUUAAAUUUGAUAUAUCUUUGUGCAUCAUUGUGAAUUUGUUUGUACUCAUUGGGUUGCACCGGGCACUUACAAUUGGUAUCAGAGCUUGGUCUCUUUUGAUCAAGCUUAACCGCUUAGAGUAAAGAUCAUGGCAACCAUAAAAGUUUCUUUUUUAGAAGGGCAAUCUAUUGAUAGACCACCUAUGUUUAAUGGUUCUCAUUUUAGCAUGUGGAAACAAAGAAUGAUGAUUUUCUUACAAUCCGUUUAUAUUGAAUUAUGGUAUGUGGUAGAAGAUGGUCCUUAUGAAACUAGAAUAGUUGACUCUACCACCAAUUUGAGUAGAUUAAAGACUAGACAAGAAUUGAAUGAAAAAGACAAGAGAUACCUUUCUUUGAAUGCCAAGGCCAUGUGUAUAUUGUACAAUGCAUUAGAUGUAAAUGAAUCUAGUAGGAUUAAAGGUUGUAAAUCAGCUAAAGAUAUUUGGGAUAAAUUGUGUGUAUUUCAUGAAGGUAACCAAGAUAUUAAAGAACAAAAGAAAUCUUUGCUUGUUUCUCAAUAUGAAUUUUUCAAAAUGCAUCCUCUUGAAAAUGUUGAUGAGAUGUGUAGUAGAUUUUGUGACAUUAUUGAAGAUCUUAAAUUGCUUGAAAAAAAAUAUUCUUUGGGUGAGAAAAAUAGAAAGAUUUUGAAUGCCUUGCCAAAAGAAUGGGAAAACAAAAUAAAUGCUAUAGAAGAGGCAAAAGAUUUAAAUUCUAUGUCCAUUGAAUCUCUUGUGGAUACCCUAACCUCUUAUGAAUUAAAGCUGAAAUUCAAAGUGCAAGAGGAAGAAAAUGCAAGAAUGUAUAAGAGAGGCAUAGCUUUUAAAGCAUCUCAAGUGGGGGAUAACCCAUCCUUCAUGGGUAAUGAAAUCAUGGAAGUGGACAAUGAUAUAACUCCUCACAUCAAAAGUUUCAAGAAGAUCUUCAACAAGAGAUGUUCAAGAGGAGAUUGCAAAAUUACAUGGGAUGAAUGCAAUUCAAAAAGAGAAAAAGAAGAGUUGGCCCAAAUGGCACUAAUGGCCGUUGGAGAAGAUGAGGUAAGUUCUUAUCACUCUUCUUGUGAUGAAGAUAAUGAAGAUGAUGAUGUGAAAAUUCUUAUGAUUAAAAUGCAUAAAAGUUUGAGAAAAUCUUAUGCUAAAAAAAAAGAUUUGAAAACAAAAAUAAAUGAUUUGUUGGAAGAAAACUCCAAACUUUUUCAAGAAAACAAAUGUUUGAGAAUGGAAAAUGAUGAUUUAAAAAAUCAAAAAAGUGUUUUUGAUUGCAAAAAUAAUUUGAAAAGGAAGUUGGAAGAGAAAACAAAGUUUUAUGAAAAAAUAUUGGAGGAACAAAAUGUGUUAAAGAAAAGAAUUAAUGACUUGAACGAGUUUCUCCAAAAUGAAAAACAAACGUUUUCUCAAACAAAAGAAAGCAAAUCUUUUCAAGGUACAAAUAAGUUUGCUAUGAUAAGAAGUAAGAAAAUUAGUUGCAUUAAAUCCACCUAUGUGCAAAAUACUUCUAUCAUGUGUCACUUUUGUUGCCAAUUUGGACAUAUGCAAAAUGAUUGCUAUGUAAAGAAAAAUAUGAGAAAAGGUAUGAAAUCCAUGUGGAUUGCUAGAUCAUGUUGUACUAACUCCCAAGAACCCUAUAAAAAAUUACAAUUGGUAUCAUGAAAGUUUUGUCAUUCUAUAUGGUCUUGAUUUGGAAAAUAAAGGGGGAGUUUGCUUUUUGAUUGAUGUCAAAAGGGGGAGUAGGAUUUAUUGAAAUUUCUUUGUAUGUUGGCAUUUUCUAAGGGGGAGUUUUAUUUGAACUUAUUUGAUCAAAGAAAUCUUCAUUUUGUUUGUCAUCAUCAAAAAGGGGGAGAUUGUUGACCUUGGUCGAUCAAUCCUUGGUUUUGAUGAUUAACAAACUAAAAUGUAGAUUUGGGCUAAUGUUUUUAUGUGAGCAAUUUGUUAGAACAGAUUCUUGUGGCACAAAAGAAGAAGCAAAAACAGGGCACUCAUGUGGGACGUCCGAAAGGAAGCUAUCGGACGUCCGAAAGGAUGAAGAACAUCAAGAAGGAAACUCUGUCGGACGCUCGUGAGGAAACAUCGGACGUCCGGAAGGAUCGGACGCACGCAUCGGACGCACAUCGAUCGCAUCGGACGUCCGAGAAAUUUCGCAAAUAUUUGAUGACUCUCUGACGACGUUCGGACGCAUGGUUCGGACGUCCGACAGGUGGUUUGGACGCAGGGUUCGGACGUUCGACAGGUGGAUCGGACGUCCGACAGGCCAACGGCUAGUUUUGACAGCAUUUAAUAUUUGACCGUUGGAGAGCCUUUUGGAGCCAUUUCUCACCUUCUAUAAACACCCCAAAGCACAAGAAGACACAAGACUUUUGCCAACACAAAAUACAAGCUUACAAGUGAGAUUUUUGAGUAGAAAGAUUCUUUGUUGGUUGUAUAAGGGGUUGGGGAAGUUGGGUUGUGAGGUUGCUCAAGUGAAGGUUACUCUCUAGGUGGAGUAAAACCUUGGUGAAGGUGAACCUAUCACUUGAAGUGGUAAAACCUUGGUGAAGGUUGCCUCAUUUGUAUAAAAUAGUUCUUAAUUGGGUGAGUGAUCUUUCAAGUGUAGGUUGUUGAGGGUUAACUAGAAUUGUUGUAAAACUCCUUGGCUCAACCAAAGUGUGUUUGGGGUGAGGAAGGAGUGAGCAUUCACUUGUACAUCUUGGUUAGCAUCGCCAUCAAUUGAAGAGGCUAUUGGUUUGAUAUUUGGUUUGCAUUUCUUAUCCUUUCUCUUUAAUUAAGUUUUCUUUAUUGUGCUUAAAUUUGAUAUAUCUUUGUGCAUCAUUGUGAAUUUGUUUGUACUCAUUGGGUUGCACCGGGCACUUACAAUGGCCAUGUUGCGGGCUGAUGUUCGGGAGGAUAUAGAGGCAACCAUGGCACGUUUCCUGAGAGGACUACACGCUGAAAUUGCAGAUGUUGUGGAGCUCCAACAUUAUCUUGACAUGGAUGAAUUAUUGGACAAAUCUAUCAAGGUGGAAAGGAGGCUCAAGAGGAGGGGUAUCCCCCACCAAAGCUCCAACGUCCAAUCUGGAAAUUGGAGAACUCAGCAGUAUACAGGCGAGAUUACCCACACGAGUGAGCAAAAGUCAGCCAAGGCAAGUGGGGUUUCGAAUGGAGCAUGGGUGCCUGGUUCGUCAUCUUCAACACCGACCCAAAGGGCCGAAUUUAAGGCUGAUCUAGGGGCAUCUAAACCUAGAAACCGCGACACUAAGUGCUUUAAGUGUCAAGGUUUCGGUCACAUCGCGUCCCAAUGCCCAAACCGAAGGACCAUGCUCAUGCUUCCAAGUGGUGAAGUGCUAACGGAUGAGGAGGAUGAGUAUGAAGGCAUGCCACCAUUGGUUGAGGAAGAAGAGAUAAUUGCCCCUGACCAACCAGUUGGACUAGGCCUUGUUACAAGGUUGGCAUUGAGUGCUCAACGCACAAAUGAAGAAUAGCAGCGUACCAACAUCUUCUAUACCCGAUGUCUAGUUAACGGGAAAGUGUGUAGCUUGAUUAUCGACGGAGGAAGUUGUACCAAUGUCGCCAGUGCCUUAUUUGUCAAGAAGUUACACCUACCUGUUCAAGAUCACCCACACCAUAUAAGCUUCAAUGGUUUAGUGAUUACGGCGAAGUGCGAGUGUCCAAGUAGGUUUCUGUGAAGUUUAACAUUGGGAGAUAUGAGGAUGAGUUGGUGUGUGACGUGGUUCCUAUGCAAGCUGCCCAUCUUAUUCUUGGAAGACCUUGGCAAUUUGAUCGCGAGGUUACUUAUGAAGGUCAUUCCAACAAAUACUCGUUCAUGCAUAAAGGGAUAAGGAUCAUACUUGUUCCACUCUCACCUACACAAGUGCGAGAGGACCAAAAUAUUUUACAGAGGGAAUGGGAGUUGGAUCGAUUAGAAGGCAAGGAAAAGAAAGGGCGAACAUUGAUCCUGCUCGCUAAGCCUGAGGACAACAUCGGGCACUGGGAGCUGGAACAUUUCACCUUGGUGGUGUUUAACGUGUUUUCAUUUGUGCAGGUUGUUCGUGGUCAGAUAUCCUUCAUCUUGCAGUGUGGAAUACCCGCAACCAUAGAGAUCUGCGAAGAGAGUGUUGGUCAAGUAAUUCCAACCAACACUAGUCGAGUUACAUUGGCCUUUGAUGCAGUGUUUGCACGUCUUGAUGCGUACAAAUUGUAACAGCCCCACUUUCCCCUAAGGCGAACCAAAGGGGUUAGCGGACUGCCUGCCCAACUCUCGCCAGGACUACGGAUCAGAUUAGAGCUAUCUAUUGCGAUCCGGAACUUACAAACGAGCGUAAACAGGUCAAAAUGGUAAAAUAACCCAAAAUAAAAUGAGAUGAAAUCCAGAGCCGGCCAUGAAUAGUAACCGACCCGUCAGAACCCAACCGAAAUAGCUAACAAACAUUUUCAUCUGAUCUUUAGCGUUUACAAAUCAAAAUGACAUACAAAAGCUUUCAAAAGAUAAUACAUAUACACGGUUUGCCAAAUCAAAAGAGAAACGCCCCAAAAGUACACUUAGGGUUUUAAUACAUGAGCUAUACAAAAGAUAUGUUCAACUAGCUCAAGUCGGCAACCGAUUAUCAAAUCCAGUCCAAAAGUAUUUAUUUUUCCUGUAAGGAAAACAAAAGGAACAGAACGGGGUGAGCUUGCGCUCAAUGAGGUACCAAACAGAUAGCAUUAAAAUCAUGGCAUUUCACAUUUAACAGAUCAGAUACACAUGUCAGAUGUAAAGCAAAGGAACCAAUGAUUCAAAUCAGAAGGAUACGGGUGGCUCUCAGGAGCCAAAUUUCCAGCGCAAUACUUGAUCCUAACCGGUUGACUCUCCGUCAACGUAUAUAGAACCAAUGCGUCCGUAGACCCCUCUUAUCACCGAAUUCCGUCCACCAAACACCCCUUUACCGGGCCCGCUCACCUCAAACGAACAAAAAUGGUAAUACUCGAGUAUACCCGGAAUCAAGGGUUUCAAUACCCAAAAUCCCCGAACAGACUACCGUGGUUCGUUAUCUAAUCGUCCAGGCCCUUGCCGGCCCGACUCGAAUAACUUAGCCACAGGAUUGAGCUCAUAGGUCAUAGAAAUCCGAACAGAAAUCCGAACAGAUGCAGACACAGAUAACAGAUUCAAAUUUUUGCAUAGUAAAUUGGCAUAUGAGCAGACUAGAGAACGAGUGUAAUAAAGUACACCCUCGUCUCGAACAAAUAAACAGAUUGCAGAGCAGAAAUCAAGUUAAAUAGCAAUGGAGGGGAGUGGUACACUCACCGGCUUAACUUCAAAAGUUUUCACUUCAGAUUGGCCUUAAUCGCCAAGAAACCCUAAAAUAAUCAAAAUAAAUCAAUUGAAGGUUUUACUUCCAGAAUCGAGUAAACACAAUGCACAUGAGGCUCGACUACUAGUCGUAUGCCUCGCCAAAAUAAUUACUAAUGCAAGGGUGGAAAACAUGAUUUUCUUGGAAACAAAAAGGUAACAUGAAGACUUAGGCGCAAACAACCCAAAAGCCUUUCAUUUCCACCAAAAGGCAAAUCUACUUAAAGGAACCAAACGGCCUAGAAAAUCGGGCAGCACCGUCCCUAAAAUUCUUACUUUUCCAGCCAUUAAGGCUUCAUUAUUUCCUCAAAUUAGCCCCAACAUUUCACACCAAAGGUCAUCUCAUUUCCCAAAAGCCGUACAGGGCUCAAAGUGGUACAAGUACAAAAGUUAGCUAGGAAACAACCAAAAUGAAAGCAAGCCCUAAGAGAGACUCGACGACGAGUCAUAAAACAAUGCUGAACACAACCCCAAUAGGGUCUCAUAUGCAUAAAUAAACAUGGUAGCAAACCAGCAAUUAAUAUAUGACCUUAACUUAAGCCUUAAUAGAAAAACCGUGUUUGAUCUUAUAAUGCGGUAAUGGCGUCAAUUUCACUACGGUUAUCGGUUGGGGGUGUAAGACCCACCGAUUCGAACCUAUGAAACAGGGCUACAACAAUGUAGAAGGGCACUCAAUCCAGUUCCUAGCUUAACUAGGUCGAAAGUGCCAAAUACUAUACCAGAAUUACCAAAACAGGUUUGCAAAACACAGAAAACUGUAAUUACUAUAACUCAGUCUAUACAAGUCCAAAUGCCGAAAUUCCAAAGGCAUAUGAUAGCUAAGACAUCCAGUAACAUUUCAUCAGAAGACACCAACUUCAAAAUCCAAACCAAAUCCAGUCAAAAUAGGCAAUUACUAUCGCAGUUCCGCACAUUCUGUUCACCAAAAACAGCAACAGUAAAAACGGCAUAACUCUCUCUAUACUACUCCAAAUUCCCUGAAAUUUUGCAGGCACUUCUUACUCACCAAUACCUACAACUUUCAUGUUUUGAGAAAAGUCCAAUUCGGCCUCUAGCUAUGACCUAAAAUUUCGGACAGAAUAGGGGAUUUAAGAACCCUAACUUUUCAAUUUUCACACCAAAUCCAAAAUUGAUUGCAUUUAACCACAAUUCACACUCACUAGAGUCAUUUCCAACCAUUACAAUCCAUCAUACAAGCACCCAACAUCAAGAUCAUAUUAAACCAGAAAAAUCAUCAAUAAAAUGAAAAACUUCACCAAAUCACUUCAAACCAAGAUAAAACCAGAAAUUUCAGCACUUCAAGCACUACUAAGCAUAAUUUAAGCUUCAUAGGGUGUAAGAGGGUGUUCAAGCUUCACUUACCAAGAAACAAGAGAGAAGAGGUUGUUGAACACCUUAAACCUUCAACCAAGCUUCAAUAAACAACUUACUAGCACUAGAAGGUAAGAUUGUAUGGAAUGGAAUUGGAUGUAACCAAUGUUUUUGGUUGAUUUGCAACAAGUAGAAGCUUGAAUGGUGAAGAAAGUUUCUUCCUUCCUUGCUCAAGGUGGCCGGCCAACAAGAGAAGAAAAAUGGUGAUUUUUUGUGCAUUUUUUUGAUAUAUAAUCCUUUGGUCAAAAAAGUCAAAAUUGGGAAUAGUAAUUCUUAAAAAAACUUCCAAUGAGGAGGUGACACUUGUCACCUCCAUAAAUGCAUUCUUAUCUUUCUUUCCUCUCUCACAUCAAUCACUUCACACAUUCUACUUAUCACUUAACACCCGAUAAAUUUUAAACAGUAUCCGAAACUUAACCUUAUUGGCCGAAUUUUUCCAAACUUUUCGCACUAGUGGGUCCCACGUCCACUAUUUACUCUUAAUUUUCUAAAAAUUCUCCAAUGCUAGAAAAAUCAUCUUAAAACUAUAAUUGCUCAUAAAAUCCACUAAGAAAAUAUUUCUAAACCAGAAAAUGCAGAAAACAUGCAAUUAAAGGGAACUAAACCCUAAGAAAAUAAUUAGGGUUUUACGGGUUCUCACACAACUCGCAGCCCAACCAAACCUUGGUUCACCGGGCGUCCGCUCACGAUCCACCCAUAGGGUUGAGACGUCGCUUGUGUGACCAUUGUCAUGGAAAUCUUGCUGUCCGCAACAUGUAUCUACCACCACCACAAGUUGUCCCUGUUCUACACAAGGAUGUCAUGAUCAUUCUUCGCUUAAGAAGGCGACAUGCAGGCUGCUUGGUGAUUAUACACAUGCUCUCAUCACUUUUGUUUUGUAAGAGAGUCAUGAUUUGGGGACAAAUCGCCUUUAAGAGGAGGGGAAUGAUGAGAAUAUAAAGACCAAGGCCCAUUCAAGCACACGGGGAAUUGGAAGAUUCAAGUGAAGACCGGUUGAUUGCAUGAAUACUUGAGUUUAGUAGGAUUAUUUGAUUUCCUCGUUGAUUUUGGUUAUUUCUCGCUUUAGAAAGUCUAGGUAAUUAAGCUAGUUUAAUUGCGGCCCAUUUGUUAGUAAGUGAGGCCCAAAAUCUUCCUUAAGUAUGUAGGGUAAUUUGGUCAAUUUUUGGAUUAGGGUUAAUGCUUGUAAGGGCUAUAAAUAGCCCCACUUCCUCUUUGUUUUGUGAUCAGUUUUUGGCUAUUAAAUACGAUUAGUGAGUUUUCACUUUCUCUUUGGCAAGAGAGCUUCCUUUGAAUACUUGAGAAUCUUCUCAAGUUAUUCACCCGAACUUAUCAAUCGAGUAUCUCCUUGAUUGUGGCGUUCUACUACCCCCAAUUUGGUUCGUUAAUUCGAGUAGUUACGGGUUGAGAUAAUAUCAAAAUUGUUCGUGACUUCUAGAGAUUAGUUGGGUCAAAUUUCCGCUGCCUAAGCCAUGGUGUUUUGGUUGUCUAGAUCGGGGUUUCACAUCACAUGUCUAAUAUUCAUUUAUCCCACUUAACUAUUUUGCAUGGCCUCCACCUACUUUCUUUUUAUUUUUUUUAUUAUUUUUUUUUUUUUCAAAACCAAUUUAUGAUAAACAAAAUGUUAAUUCCUAACUGAGAUUGCCUUACAAAAAUAUCAUUUUAUUUGGAAGAAUUUGAAUAAAUUUUUGUUGAGACUUUCUUUUUUAGAAAUUUAAUGCAAAAAUGUCUUAAAAAAUAUGAACCUAAUUUAUUUUGUAACUAUAAAGAAAUACUAACUAUCAUUUUGCAAACUUAGUCAACUAAAAUAAAAUAAAAAAUAAUAAAAAAUAAAGCUAAAAUAGAAUUAAAUAAAAUUGAAAUUUUGGUGUCUACAUUAUCACCUUGGUUGUGUUUGGAUUCCCUGUUUUUGGAUGUGUUUUUGAAAAACUUAACUGUAGCAUUUUUUGAAAAACUUCAAAAAACGUUUGGAUACUUGUUUUUGAAAAACUCUUUGUUUUUGAAAAUACAAGCAUUUGGAUUGAACAGUUUUUCAAAAACACCUACUUAUUAAAGCUUUGUACAAAAGAAUUGGAUAAUUGCCCAAUAACUUCAGCAACAAAGCAAAUGUGACCUUUUUAUAAAGGAGUUAGAAUUUGCAAUUCCAGUUGUGUUGGAAGUGGCAUAUACUACCAAUUUCCUCUGUCAAAUAACAAGAGGAACUUAACUUGUUUUUUGGCUUUUUUGUACAAUAUCAUCCACAAACACAUGGUAUAUCAGCAUUUAGGUGCAUAUACGGGGGUAGAGCAAUGCACGAGUUAGCAUAUAUAAGAUAAAUGUUCAAAUCCGUGGUCGACAUAACACAAUAACAUUUGUUACACACUCAUAAUCAAGUGGAAAUCAUACGUUUCAUAGAAGAAGACUAUUAAACUUUUAUUUAGGGCCUAUAGGUCCAAAGACUCGUAGUGGAGCCUAGUAUGCGCAUUCAAAUACAUGUGAGCUGCCAUCGCCCGCCGAUCUUCAUUCCAAUUAUCUAUGCCCUGCUGCAACAUAUCGAUGGGUUGUCCUGGCUGCCAUUGCUCCCCUGCUAUCUGUGCGUCAGCUAGGGCUCCGAGGGCUGCUUCUUCGUUGAAGUACUCAUCCGCUGGGGAGUAUGCGCGCAUAAAAUUGUGCAAAGUACAACAUGCAAGCACAAUAUUAUUUUGAGUUGCUAUUAGGUAGUUCUGCAUUGGACCCUUGAGUAUUGGAAAUCGCUUCUUAAGAACCCCAAAUGUGCGCUCAAUAAUAUUUCUAACCGAUGCAUGCCGCCUGUUGAACAAGCGUUUAGCAGCCCGCUCAUGAUGCGUGCCCUGUGCUCCCCUAAAUGGUGCCAUAAAACCCGGCAUAUUUCUAUAAGCAGCAUCUACCGCAUAACAUUUCCCUGUCAAUUGUCAUGUUGAUGGAUGUGAAGGUAUUGAUUACAAAUAGAGAAACGGGGGCUUCAAAUAUUUCUAACCGAUGUAAGGCCUUGAAAGUAUUUAAAACAACUAUUAUGCACUUUCUUAACUUCUGUCUUGAAACAUAAGAAGAAACCAGCACAUACCCUGCGGUGGCAUAGGAAAACCCGAAUCCGGAUCUAGCAAGAUAUCUUGAAGAAUUCGGGAAUCAUGAGCACUACCCUCCCAACCGACCCGAACAUAUACAAAUCGCAUGUCAUGAUCGCAGGCAGCAAGCACGCUCUGGGAUAAGUCGCCAUGCCGAUUUCUGAACCUCUCUCGUAUCUCUGCUUUGCACCAAGCGGAGACGUGUGUCCCGUCUAGUGCUCCUACACAAUCCUAUAAAAGUAUACAACAAAACUAAUUUUUGUCAGAAUAUUGUAAAUUGAAAUUUGAAAGCAUAAAAGUGCAAUCCAUAUGCAAAAUACACAAACCUGGAACCACGGCAUGAGUGAUGCAUUGUUCAAAAUCCUUGGGUGAGUCCCAUUGAAGUCUGUUGGCCUAACGAGAUCACGACCGAGGCGAACUAAUGCUCGUAACACACGACGAACAUGUCGAUCAAUCGUCUCCGUUGAAUGCUGGAACCGCUCGGUUAGAACACGAUGCCGCUCAUCAUGGCUCAGGCACAUUAGAGUUAAAGCAACAGAUUCAUGAACCCCAACCUGAUGUGAAGGAUAUGCAUGCCAAUAACCACGCUGAACCAACAUAUCACACAGCAGCAGGAAUUGGGGAACAUCCAAGCACAUGUUUUCAAUAAUUCUGUCCUCAUGUCCAUUUAUCAGCUCAAGCACAUAGUCCCUCCCUGAGAGCGCACUAUCUUAGACUCUUCUUCUUUUGGGGACACGGUUAAAGCGUGGGUCAAAGAACAUGACACCUAGAAGCACAAUUUCCAUAAGGACAUUAUCGAUAUCAAUAUCGUCCAUCUCGUCGUCCAGGUGUCCGCCCUGAAUGUGUCCCUGGUUAUCCAUCCCACUGCUAUGACUAUCAAGUAUGCAAUUGGCCAAGGGAAUCCCUGCAAAGGUAGGAGUCAAAAGGAUUCAAAGUGGAAGUCAACAAUGCGCCGGUUAUAUGCACAAAUAUUGUAGACUGAACAAUCAUGAUAAUUUACUUGAACCUAUUUGACGAAAAACAAGCAUAGCAAAACAAGAAGUUCACAAUUUCUUCAAUUUACAACUUUGGUAUUAAAAGCUUAGCAAAGGUUUCUCAAGUUAACAAGUAUAUACCAGCCUGGGGAACAAUGAAGCAACCAACACGAUUAAAUCUCCAGGUACAAUUUAUACCUAGGCAAAAAGCUUAGCAAAGGUUUCUCAAGUUAACAAGUUGCCAAUUUAGACAACAAUGAAGCAACCAACGCGAUUAAAAUCUCCAGGUACAAUUUAUACCUAGGCAAGAAGCUUAGCAAAGGUUUCCAAGUUAACAAGUUGCCAACCUGGGGAACAAUGUACCACAACACGAUCAAAUCUCUAGGUAUAAUUUAUACCUAGGCAACAAACGUAAUAACAACUGGUGCAAUCUAAUCCUUGAACUAGGUCCGACCGAAGGCAAAUAAUUGGGUAGCUUGUGAUGGACAAAAAUCAAGUCAAACUAUGCCAAUUUCAAACGUUACCAUAAUGUGCUCAUCUUAUCCCUGCUUACGUGUGACGCCCCGAAAGAAUGAGUGUGAGAACCCGAAAAUUUUUGUAUAUUUUCGAGACAUUAUUUUGUUUCCUCGUCUAUAAUUUUGUACCUUUCUUCAAUAUUUUGAUUUUCUAUACAUUUUUAUAAGUAAAUACAGUUUUCAAAUCAUUUUCUUGAUACAAGUUAGUCCACGUUGAGUUUGAAGUGUAUUAUGGACGUGGGACCCGCUAGUGCGGUAAAUGCAAUAUAUUUUUUACAACUUGUUGGAGUUUUGUAUUAAGUGAUAUUAUUUUACAAGGUGCUAAGAGAUAAUUAGAUGUUACCUAUAUGGAUUAGUAUUGGAGAGACAAAAAGAUAAGUUUUAAACCAAAAGGUGACAUGUGUCACCUUCUUAUUCAAAGUUGGACUUUUGACCAUCUUACCUUAACUUUACUAAAACCAAAAUUUGACCAAAAAUCAAGCCAUUUUCUCCUUCUUAUGGCUGAAACUUUGAGAGCAAGAGAGAGAGAAAAACCUUCACCUUUCACUCCAAUUUUUUACUUCAAUCUUGAGUUUCAACCGAUUAAUUUGCAAACUACUCCAUAAAACUUACUUUCCAAGUAGUUUCCAAGGUGUUUGUGGAGUUAUUUUUGGAGGACAAAUCUUAAGCUACCAUCUUUCAUAGGGAGAUAAGGUAUUUUGCCAACAACCUCUUCUUUACUUCAAUUAAUUGCUAAUUAGUGGUUUAAAGUUGUAGUUCUGGUAGUUUAUGAGCAUAUUUCAUGGUUGAUGUAGUAUUAUGAAAAUUCCAGGUUAGGGUUUUGAAUCUGCCCUGUUCUGACCGGAUUUAUUUGAGCAUGUUAGAGGCUGAAUCAGGCUUAGGUUAAAACAUGAAAGUUGUAGAAAAUGGUGUUAAAUAGCUUCCUACAAAAUUUCAGCUGGAUCUGAGUACUGUAGCAUGUGAAAUGACCGAAAUACCCUUGACUGUCCAUGAAUCCUGUUCCGCACCCAGAUUUCUAUUUUCGUGGAAAUUUCCAUUUUUGAUCAUGAAAAUGCAUGAUUUGGCCUUGGAGGUCUUCAUAAGAAAUGUAGGGUUAUGUAUUCGCUUCGAAACGCCAUAAGAUUUGUUUCAAUCUGAUAAGUGUAGCUUCAGUUAUGGAUAUUGUGCCGAAAGGUGUAUUUGAUAGUCUAUGAUGUGUAUGUGGUUGAUUUGAGAUGAAUUGGUGUUGCUUGUAGGAUGGAAAAGUAAGGAAAUGUAGGGGAAAUGCUGUCCGAUCUUUGAAAGCAUUUGAUUGCUUUGAGUUUGAGUUGAAGGGCUUGGACUUGAGCAAGGCAAUGAUAUAUGAUGGAUGGUUCCUGAGCCGUGAUUGGUAAGUGACCCUCAACUAUUUCCCAAGUACUUUUGAAAUGUUUCUUGUAUUAUUUACUCGACUGCAUAUCAUGCGUGCUUGCAUGUGAGUUCAUGACAUGAUUUAGCUUUAAUGAGUUCUUGGGGAGUCUUGUGCUGAACACCAACGUCUCCAUCCUGUUUAUUGUUCAUGACAUGAUCUGGAGCACCAACGUUGCUCCCCCUUAUUGUUUAACGCUAAGUAAUCUAUUUGAGCGUUGGGUGUUUAAGUGCAAUGAUUACACUGGCUCACGAGAGCAAUAAAUGUACAUUUGAUUCUUGAUUCAUGACAUCAUUGAAAUGAAUGAUUGUGAAAUAUAUUUGAUUACAGAUUUUAUUGGUUACUCACUGAGCUUUUAGAUCACCCCAAAAAUAUUUUAUUCCCCUCCGCAGGUCUCGUGGCGAAGGAAGGCUUGUAGUACUUAUUCACGUGACUGGAUGGCAUAUAUCUUGUACAGUUUGGAUUUGGAAUCAUUUUAUGUAUAGUUGGAAAUUCUUUCCGCUCCGCUUAUGACAUGUAAUUAUCGGGGAAAUUUGAUGUAUAUUUGAGAUUUAUAUUGUAAUUUAUUUGAGAACUGUAGUGAACGACUUAGUCCCGACGAGAGCUGGGCAGACGGUCCGCCGUACCCUCUGGUUCACCUUAGGGGGAAGUGGGGCUGUCACAUUACGAAACUUUAAUAAAGCCUAUACACAUAAGUUGAAAAUUUACAGCCAUUUUUCCCAUGAGCUGAAGCAAUCAAAAGUUCACUAAAUCGAAUUAUUAAAUAUCAGAGAAAAAAUCCAGGAUACUCAUUCGGGGUACAUAAAUAGAAAAAUCUGCCGUCAAAGUUCAACAAGCUCAAACUACAUCAAUCCACAAUAAAAUGUUCAAUAAAAAUGCAUGUUCGGGGACACAAAGAUAACUGAGCGGGCUGCCACGACCGGAACAGGGAUGGCAACAGCAACUAUGCGGGUGGAAGUAACCCUCGAUGUCUCACAAAUGCAAGGCGGGCAUCGUCUGUGGUGCAUGAGAACCAAAUGAUACGCUCCGCUUUGGACUGGAGGAGAUCGGCCAUCUGAAGGUGCACAUUUAUGUCUAGACGAAGCGCGCAGAGGGGCACCAUUGCAGCUUCGAGCUCUGCAUCGUCAUCUAAAGCAGCCUUUUGACUCUUCGAAGGUGAAGAGACCUCUACACUAACGCUACGGCUCUUUUUAGCGCUCAAAUAUGUGUCAAUGUUGUCUAGGACGCGGACGUACUGCUGGAAUUGGGGGGACGAUGGUGAGAAGAAGGAAUCUGUCGACAUGUCACCCGAUCGGCGCUUUCCUUUGCCCUUCUUAACUUUUUGUUUCCCUUUCCGACUCACAGGUUGCGAGGGUGCUUCUUCCUCAGAGGAAUCCACAUCCACAACCCCCUUUGACGAAUAACGUCUAGCAGCAUUCUCCAUUUGCUGCUCGCCGGCCGAGUUGGGGGGUGAUUCGACAUAUCCAGCGCUAAAAUCCCCAGUCGCGCCUCGAUUCAUGAAAACUUCUUCGAGCACAUGAUAAAGUAGGCAUGAGCUGUUGUAGAAUCUAGCGUACGCCUGGUUCACCUACAACAAAGUAGAAGAGAACAAAACGAUUAAUGGAAGACCGUAACCCCAACUCAAUUAAUGCAGCUCUGAAAAAUCCAGGGGGGACAGAUGGAAUAUUUCUAAAUGGAAAUAAAGUAAGAAACCAGCAAGUAAAGAGCUUAAAGGGGAGGAAUGGAAUAAUUCUAAAUGGCAAUAAAGUAAAAAAGAGUAAGUAAAGAGAAAAUCCAGGGGGGGACAAAAUGGUGCGAUUCUGAGUGGCAAUAAAGUAAGAAACCAGCAAGUAAAGAGAAAAUCCAGGGGGGAGAAUGCAAUAAUUCUGAAUGGAAAUAAAGUAAGAAACCAGCAAGUAAAGGGAAAAUUCAGGGGGGGGACAGAAAUCAAGUUUACUGAAUGACAAUAAAGUAAGAAACCAGCAAGUAAAGAGAAAAUCCAGGGGGGACACAAUGCAAUAAUUCUGAAUGGCAAUAAAGUAUAUACCAGCAAGUAAGUAUACCUGAACUAGAUGGCUCCACCGUUCAUCAUCCAUCAUGAAAGUGUAGUUGGUUGAGUCCCACCCCAUACCAGUGCCCCGCUUCUUGAAUGAAAUGUAAAGCCUAGUGAGGCUCUGAAGGGCAUAGUACUUGGACCGAAUACUGUUGCUGGGAAAUGAAAUACCAAACCUCUGAAGAAGCAUGUCAGUAACCUCGGGGACUACAUGACUCCCGAUGUUAUGAAACGAUAUCUCUCCAUUCCUAUGCAUAUGCACAAGAUGUUCAGCAAACGCAAAUUCAUGUUCAGAUGUGAAAGAGUUACGUUUUGGGUACUUCCCUUUUGAUGGUUUCAUCUUAUUUCUCUUUAGGAUACAUGAACCAAAAAAAUGGACGAACAGGGUCAAAAACGGGUAAAUCUGUCGUCUUUGUCAUAUAAAAAUAGAAAAGGCAGUUUUGGGUGCGGCUGUAAGUACAAGGCUAAAUGCAAUUGGCUAACCUUGAAGUAGUUAGUUAUGCAAAGUUGCAAAUCUUUUUCUCCCUGAGCCAACAACGAACAACAAUUGCUAAAUCCCCUACUCCUUCGCAAGACUGUGAAGUAUAUGUAAAAAAUACAAUCCUAAAGGUCAUUUAAUUGACUUUCCAGCAACAGAAUUAGACUAACAAGAAGUUCUCCUUACCCUUCCAAGCACAUCGCGUCACAGGGGACAUGUAGCUCCAAGGGGGGGACAAUAAAUGGACUAGACAGUAGCUGCAGCCGCAGUACUUACAUAAACUGGAAGAAAUUAGGUGCCCAAACUCUACCAUAUUACUCAACAAACGAGCACACAGAAAUGUGUGCAUAAAUCACUGAAUGGCAAUAAAACACGAUGGGUUGUAUAUAAUCUCAACUUAAGAAAGAGAUGAUAAAGAGAAAAUAACAGUCAUUCUUAACAGCAAAUAUUAAACCAACUUACACCAGAAAAGACCUCAAAAAUAAGUUUACUGAAUGACAAUAAAGUUUACUGAAAUCAAGUUUACUGAAUGACAAUAAAGUAAGAAACCAGCAAGUAAAGAGAAAAUCCAGGGGGGACACAAUGCAAUAAUUCUGAAUGGCAAUAAAGUAUAUACCAGCAAGUAAGUAUACCUGAACUAGAUGGCUCCACCGUUCAUCAUCCAUCAUGAAAGUGUAGUUGGUUGAGUCCCACCCCAUACCAGUGCCCCGCUUCUUGAAUGAAAUGUAAAGCCUAGUGAGGCUCUGAAGGGCAUAGUACUUGGACCGAAUACUGUUGCUGGGAAAUGAAAUACCAAACCUCUGAAGAAGCAUGUUAGUAACCUCGGGGACUACAUGACUCCCGAUGUUAUGAAACGAUAUCUCUCCAUUCCUAUGCAUAUGCACAAGAUGUUCAGCAAACGCAAAUUCAUGUUCAGAUGUGAAAGAGUUACGUUUUGGGUACUUCCCUUUUGAUGGUUUCAUCUUAUUUCUCUUUAGGAUACAUGAACCAAAAAAAUGGACGAACAGGGUCAAAAACGGGUAAAUCUGUCGUCUUUGUCAUAUAAAAAUAGAAAAGGCAGUUUUGGGUGCGGCUGUAAGUACAAGGCUAAAUGCAAUUGGCUAACCUUGAAGUAGUUAGUUAUGCAAAGUUGCAAAUCUUUUUCUCCCUGAGCCAACAACGAACAACAAUUGCUAAAUCCCCUACUCCUUCGCAAGACUGUGAAGUAUAUGUAAAAAAUACAAUCCUAAAGGUCAUUUAAUUGACUUUCCAGCAACAGAAUUAGACUAACAAGAAGUUCUCCUUACCCUUCCAAGCACAUCGCGUCACAGGGGGCAUGUAGCUCCAAGGGGGGGACAAUAAAUGGACUAGACAGUAGCUGCAGCCGCAGUACUUACAUAAACUGGAAGAAAUUAGGUGCCCAAACUCUACCAAAUUACUCAACAAACGAGCACACAGAAAUGUGUGCACAAAUCACUGAAUGGCAAUAAAACACGAUGGGUUGUAUAUAAUCUCAACUUAAGAAAGAGAUGAUAAAGAGAAAAUAACAGUCAUUCUUAACAGCAAAUAUUAAACCAACUUACACCAGAAAAGACCUCAAAAAUAAGCAGAGGGGAACCAAUUUAACAGCUCAAAAUCAGUGCAACGGAUUUUGAGACAAUCCAUCUGUCCAACAUCAAUGUACCACAUAUCAAGUUAACCUGUGAUUGCUUAUGCAUAAUCACAGGUUAAAGGCAAAGCAUGUGCAUAUACUGGGGUACAAAUAUUGAAUGAUAGAGGGCAAAAGAAGAAUCUCACGAGUAAGCAACAUCCAAGCGGAGGACAGAGCAACAACUACUACUACAGCCAGCAAUUUAAAUCUAACUUGGUACGGCAAGCGUUUAGAUAUUGGUUCAAUUUAGUCAAAUUUCUUGGAGUCCAAUUAUAGCUCUGACUAGGGUCAAUUAUAUGAAAUAAUAUGAGGCAAACAAGUGAAGCAUAUACUUCAGCAGCCCUGAAUGUGCAGGUAAGACGGAAACCAGCAAUGAGCAAUCACAAAUCAAAGAAGCACCAAAGAAAUGUUUUCAAUAAGCACAUACCCUCCCAAGUUCAACAAAUGAUGUCAGAGGCCCAAUUUCCUCAUGAAAUUAAAGACGCGGAACAAGUUUAAAUACCAUUCGUUUGGGCCAAAUUUUUUUUAAGAUCGACGGAAAGAGGUUUAAGGUUCAGAAAUAUUCUUCAAUUUAAGUGGUAGCCCAAAUGAAAAAAUUAAAAUGUAACCCUAAUGUGUACGGAUAAUCCCAAAACUGACCGAACCAACCUGCAAGUAUCUUGAAAGAGGAGGCUUCACCGAACUUCUUGUGGGAAGCAGCAGCGUAUCAACACAAAUGAUAACUGCCUACGAAUUUACUUCAGCAGCAGGGGUGAGCCAGUGAUAAUCAAUGUCGGGGCAGCAACAGAAAAAAAUCAAUAGCGUCUGAGGUGUGUUGCAGAUCUGCUGGGAACUAUCUCUCAGUGGUUGCGCACUCCAGUUUUUGUAGCUCAAGCACCGCCAACUAACUCCCUCCGCUGAUGUGCUGGAGCUUUGGCAGCAACGGAUGCGUCGACUUGCAGAAAGUGGCGGGGGGUUACUCUUCAAAAUUUGGAAGGGGGAGAGAAUGUCCAAAGACUUCUUCCUUCUUAGCUCAGUUGAACAGAGAAAGGAUAAGAAAUUUCAACAAUGUUGCAGCUCAUGAUCGAAAAACUCUUUUUAGGCAUCAGGAGCAAAAAUGCUGUCGUCUUGCUAUAGUAAGAACUGUAGCAUUUUGUUGAAAAGUUGUUGACUACUUUUUGUAUUUUGACUACAAAAACAAUUUUUAGAAAAACUACCGAUCCAAACACAGCCCUUGUCUUCUUAACAAUGAACCACAAGAGCUUCAUAGCUAUCAAACUACCAUACUUCACCAAACUCAAUAAAUAUGUUUGUCAUGUCAAAAUAAGAAUUAGAACAACAUAACCUUUACUCUGUCUGAUUAUUGGUGCAAAUAGAACAGUGAUGAUGAUGGUCAAAUUUGGCUAAGUUUUGGUUUUGGAAUCUAAAUGUAACACUGGUUUGAAGUCUUGCCUAUUAUAAGAAUUGUCUAAAUCUACUAAAUCAAAUAAGUUCAAAAUUUAGCAAGUUCAAGAUGUUCUAGGAAUUUUGUACAAGCUAGAACCUAUUGAAUGUCAUAGAACUAAAUCUAUAUAAGAAAGUUAGCUCGAACUUAAGUGGACUAGAAAUAUUAUGUCCUCGUUAACGAACAUAAGAGGCGUCUAGAGAAAUUGAAAUAUAAAGUAUGAAUUAUGCUACAAUUAUAAAAUAACAUUAGUUUGAUAAUAAGUUACUUCAGCAUUAAAUUGGUUGUUCAAAUAUUACUAUUUAGUAAUAAUAAUUAUAUAGUAAUAUUAAGAAAGGUGUGUUUGAGAAACAAACUUAAGAGAUAGUGUAUGAAAGUGUGCUUAUGUGUGGGGUAGAAGGAAUGGCGUGUGUAUGUGAAUCAAUAGAUAUAUAGUGUUUGAAAGUGUGUAUGAGACAAGAAAAAUGUCUAUCUGUAUGUGUGUUAGAGAAAUAUUGUGUUUGAAAGUGUGUGCUUUUGAGAGAGAGAGAAAGAGAGAACAUGUGUACGCGUGAAAGGAUGUUUGAGAAAAUGUGUGUAUGUGUGUCUAACAUAAAUAAAAAUUAAGUGAGUACCAUUAUACUGAUACAAACUAUAGUAGAUUAAGUGAUGGAAUUUGCAUUUAAAUUUUCUCUGCAAAUUAGCGGAUGCUUAAUGUAUUCUAAAACAAGAGAAUUGAUUAGUGUAAAAUUUCAUGUGUUUUCAUAUUCAUUUAAGUCCAAUUGUAGUGUACUUCACGUGUUAAAUCUUACAUUUUAGGAUUUAUUGAAUUUUUAAGCUUAUGCAUGGUUUGAAAUUACAUUACAAAAUUAUUGAUAAAAUUAGUGAUCAAUAAAUGGUUCUUGUAGGUUUGGAGCAUGUUUGGAUGUGAAUUCAAGUUGGAGAAGUGUCAUAUAAGAAUGUGCACGAAAAUCAAGAAGAAAAGUACGAAAAACUAUUUAAGGAAUUUAUGACCGGCUCUAGGUCAAAACAAGGCCAUCAAAAGUAGCCGUGGAAAACUGCAAUGAUGUGAAAUGUAGUUCAAAGUUCCAACUAGCUGCACCAAGCAGUUCAAAGGUAGAUUAGAACCAUUCAAACUGCCUCUAAGGACCGGUUAGAGUGGCAACUCUAGUUUUGUUCAAGAUGUCUAUGGUUUCAAAACCUAUUUGAAAUUUUAUUUUUCCUUCUAUAUAAAUAGGAGACAAUGAAAACUACUUGGGGAAUCUUUUAGGGACACUAUUUACCACCUUAGAAGAGUAGUUUUAGGUUAAAAAUCAACUUACUUUGUGACAGCCCCACCUCACCUCACCCUAAGGCGAACCAAAGGGUUUGGCGGACCGCCUGCCCAACUCUCGCCGGGACUACGGAUCCGGAACAGACAUAACCCUUCCAAACGCUCAAAAGAACUUCCAAAAAGGUAACAUUCAAAACCAAAUGAGCCAAAGUAAAAGAUACAAUCAAUCUUUGGUACUGCGUUCCCAUGAAAAUCAAAACGAAAUGGAAGAGCCGCUGCUACGUCACAAGCCAUCCCAGUACCAGUACACUUUGUUUAACAUGAGAGAAUAUACAUGCCAAAUAUAUGUCACAUAAACAUGAGAAAACACUUCAAAAUAUACAUAGUAGUAAGUUUACAAACCAAAAGGAAAUAUUGUAUUAAGAUACAUUUAGGGUUUCCAACUUCCACGGAGCUAUACAAAAGGGUGUUUAUACAAGCUCAAUUCAUUCUUCAAAAUGAUCAUUGGUCCAAAAGAUGGUUCCCUGUAAGGAAAACAAGGAUAACGGGACGGGGUGAGCUAAAAGCUCAAUGAGGUACCAAAAGUAUAAAUGGUAGGAACAGGAGAACUCAUGAAAAUCACUUUUAAGGCACAUAUUCACAUCAAAUACAAGAGAUGAAAGAACACCACAAUGUAAAGGAUACAGGUGGCUCUCAGGAGCCAAAUCCCCGUUGCAAUACUUGAUCCAGCCUCGUUGACCCUCCGUCAACGUUCAAAUGAAGGAACCCGUCCCGUAGAACACCACUUUAACGCCAAAAUCCCGUUCACCAAACAUACCCCUUAUCGGGUCCGAACGCCAAACAGGAACAGGAAUGGUAAUACUCGAGUAUACCGGAAUCAAGAGUCUCAAUACUCCAUAAGAACAGGCACCCAUGGAUUGUCAAUUUCCUCAACCAAGCCCUUGCAUGGCUCGAUUUAAUUAACUCCCCAUGAGGUUGAGCUCAGGUUUAACCAGAACGUCGCUGGACUCACUUCCAAACGACAUCAUAACAAGUGCAAGUAACAGAUUCAAGUUCAUAACAGGUACAAGUAAUAGCUUUCAGUUUAUACAGUACAGGCAAGAGAACGAGUGUGGUAAAGUACACCCUCGUCUCAUUCAAAAUAACAGAGUUCACAGUUACCCAUGUCACAAAUUUCAAGUACAGAGAAACCAAUUAAACAACAAUCCAAGGGAGUGGUACACUCACCUAUUAAGGCGAAAUAAUGUCCAGAAUAUCUUUCUGGGUAACACUUUCAAUCACCGAUGAACCCUAAGGUUAAUCAAGAGAAAAUAUUAUAGUUCCUCCAGCAAAAGUUAGGUGAAUCGAAGACAAUUCAAAUACUACUAGUAUUUUGGGCAUAUGAUUUUGGAAGUGAAAAGAGUACAUUUAAUCCAAAGAACAUGAGUAAAAUAUUUGGAAAACUCAUGCUCGCUCGUAAAACUUUGAAAUAUCCAUUUGGGUCGAAGAAAUGAAGAAAACGUAUUUCUAUUAGUCGUAAAUUUCAUUUUUCCAAGUGUACAAGUUUCGACCAGAUUCGACGUUAUAUACCUCGAUAAAAGAGGAUGCAAAUAUCCUAGAUGGUUCAUAUGGUAUUUUGUCUCAAAUCGUUACCUAAUCCUCGAGUGUAAAUUUGGGCAGCACGCCCUUUGUAUUUACCUAUUUUCCAGCCACUUAUGGCUUCAUUAUUUUCCUCAAUCAAUCCCAAAGUCAUACACAAUAUAAAUUCAUCACCACAGCCGUUCAAUAGGCUCAAAGUCAUCCAAGUACAAGAUUUAGCUAGGAAAAUGACCGGAAAUAAGCUUUAAGCUAAGGAACCAAAAAGGCAGAUUCACCGCUACUUAGCGUAUCGGACAUAACAGAAACUAUGCUUAUUGGAUUGAAGUACAAGUUAUACCGUUUCGAAGCUAAGAUAGAGGGAUAUAACUUUGAUGAAGACUACUCAGUCCAUUUCUCAUCUUAACUAGGUCAAAGUUACCAAAACAACCCCAGAUUUUCCAGUUCGACGCUCACUGUGAAAUUCAACUAGCAGUCCUGAUUCAUUCAAUCAUAUCUCAGCACACACAACUCCGAUUCAGGUAAUUCCAAAGUAAUUUGAAAGCUAAGAUACAAGGCUAUAAUUCUUAAGAAGACAUUGACAACCAAAUCAGUAGUAUUCCCGGUCAACCUAACCAAUUACAGAAGCUGAUUAUCAGUUUCGGACAGAAACAGGGCAGCAGGGGUAUUUCGGUCUUUUCACAGGAUACGUUACUCCGAUUGGGUUGAAAUUUUGUAGAAAACUAUAAAACAUCAUUAUCUACAACUUUUAUGUUUUACACUAAGGCCAAUUCGGCCUCUAACUAGGAUAAACAGUACCGGGAAGAAUGGGAAAAAAUGGAAAACCUAAUCUGGAAUUUUCCGCACAAAGUGGAAAUUUUCCGCAAUUCGCUACAAUUUACGCACUAUGGCUUCAUUCUAGACCAUUUCCAACCAUCAUCCAUAGCCACACCAUACUAAACAUAUAAAAACAGAAAAAAUCAAGAAUAAAUAUAAAAUUCACCAAUCUCUACCGAAAGUCAAGAAUUCUUCCACAAAAUCACUUAUUCAACUACUAUCAAUCACUAAUUGAACAUUAUCAAGAUCAAAGGAAAGAUUCCUUAACCACUCACCUUGUAAACUCAAGAAAGGAAGCAACUUAGCACCUUUGCUCCUCAAACCACUUCACCACUCACCUUAAUCCUACCAAGGGAAAGGUUUUUAUGGAGCAAAUCAAAGUUUUAACGGUUGGUUUGUGAGAUCAAGGCAAGAAAUUGAAGAAAGAAGUUGGAAGUUUUCUCUUCUUUUUCCUCCAAGAAAGUCGGCCAAGAGAGGGAGAAAUAAGAUGAUUUUUUGGUCAAUUUUUGGUUAAUUAGUAAAGGUAAGUAAGAUGUCAAAGUCAAGAAUUAAUCACAAGGUGACACUUGUCACCCUUAUUUAAUGCAACUCUAUCAUUUUGGCUCUCCAAUGAUAAUCCAUCUAGGUAACUUCUAAUUAUCUCUUAACACCUAAUAAAUUAAACUCGGUAUACACAACUUAACCUAAUUGGCUGAAUUUUAUCGAACUUACCGCACUAGUGGGUCCCACAUCCGGUAUACGCUCUUAAUUUCUCAAAAACUAACUAAUACUAGGAAAAUAAUUUUAGAACUAUAUUUACUCAUAAAAAUUAUCUAGAAAAUUUUCCUAAUAAAGAAAAUAUAGAAAAGGCAUGCAAUUAAAUAAAAUAAAGUCUAGAAAAUAAAAAAAUCCACGGGUUCUCACAACUUUCUCUUGUUUUUGGAUUGUAACUUGAAAAUUCAAGGCAGAGAGAAGGAACUCUUUUCUGGUGAUGGUACAAGAGUUUGUCUUCCCUCUCCUUUUUAUUAUAGCUAUGAAUUCCAUGUUAUUUUAUCAAUAUGUUAUGUUCUUAAGUUUUAUUAUGUUUAGCUAAAUAUUUUGUUGCUAAGGUCAAGAGUGGAAUCAAUUGUUCUUUAGUUUAUGAUCUAUCUUGGUUCAAAAUUGAAAUUUUUCGUAGCUGCACAUCCUCGGAUGGAUGGCAAAUCGAGAAGAUUAGUGCCUUUCUCGAGGAGUAGAUAGGGAACUACAUAACAGCAAGCUAAUGACAUAAUUUAAACACACAAAUAAUGGCAAUGUUAUUUGUAUUGUAGGAAAUCAACAAACAACUCUCCUACGAAAUUGUAAGUAUCAACAAGAGGGAAAAGGCCAUUGAUUGAAAAGGCUUGUGUAUAUACUAUUUGAUGUUUUUUAUUAUCAACUUUGUUUUUGAAAGAUCAUUGUUUGUAAAGGAUCAGUGCCUUACUCAAGUACAUAAGGAACUAUGUGAGGUCAUUGAUUGUAAAGGUCAGUGCCUUACUCAAGGAGCACAUAAAGAACUAUGUGACAGCAAGACAAUGGCAUAAUUAGAACAUACAAGUAAUGGCUCAAAUGUUACUUGUGUAGUAGGAAAUCAAGAAACAACUUUCCUGCCAGACUUGGAAGUAUUAACAAGAGGAAAAAGGCAAUUAAUCGAAAAGGCUUGUGUAUAUGCUAUUUGGUGUUUUCAAUUUCCAAAUUUAUAAUUGGAAGGCCACUGAUUGUAAAGCAUCUAAGGUGUUAAUUGACAAACGAAAGUUAACAACUAAUACUACCUGAUCAAGAUAUGAAUUUUAACUUUUGACUCACACAAAUAAGGAAACACUUAAUAAGUAAUUUGCAUAAUAUUGAACACUUAUUGAUUCUUUAACUUGUCUCAGAAAAGUAGUUUUGGACUUGUUAUAGAAAUAGUUAAUAUAUUGGGAAAAGCAAGUAUUGCAAUAUUAGGAGAUUUUACCAUAGUUUCUCACAAGAGUAAACUACUACUUAACCAAAAUAAGAUUAUGGAAAGGACAAUUGAGGAAACCUCAAUUACUAGUUACCCUAAGAAUCUUUAAUUACUAGCAAUUGUUAUCAUAACUGAUAUUUGUAAAUUUUGUAACUAAUAUUUGUAUAUUUUUUCUAUCUUUGAGUAGUGUUCUUAAUUUCCUACAUUCUUGUGAUAAUUUAUAGUUUGAAUAAUAAGAUAAUUUGAAAUGUCUAGGUAAUUUAUUGUCUUUUUUAUGGGAGCAACACCCGAAUACUCCUUAUACUAGUGUUCGAUUUAUGCAAUUGCAGAUGGAGAAAUAGGUUUUAAGUAAAUAUUUUUACUUAGAUUAACAAAAAAAAUCAAAAAAUAAUUUUAGUAGCAAAAAGAAUUGUAAUAGAAGUUGUCAUGAAAAUCUAAAUCCUUAAAGAGAACAAUAGAAGAACUUUAGUAAGAAAAUGACCACAUUUGUAUUAAAAAAAAGAAUGAAAAUUUUCAAGAAGAAACAUAACAAAACGUUUACAAAAUAUUGUCCUGUGUAAGGGUAAAGAAGGAUAAUGAGCAACUUGUUAGAAAAGAAAAUAUUAGAUUUCUUUUCUAAGAAAUUUUGUGUUGUUUAAAAAAUUCUUUUUAAUUUCUUUUCCAAAUCUCCAUAAAUAUCUCCUAAAGGUUUGAAUUCUAUAUAUAUAUAUAUAUAUAGGUCAAGUUAUUCUCUGGCUAAAUUAUUUUGUUAUUUUCUCAAUAUAUUUAUGAAUGCAAUGAUCCUUGGUAUUAUAACUUGUUUCUAAGAAAUUUUUUCAUUCGUUUACUCUUCUUUAGUGUCAACAAAAUUUUCCAAAAUAGAGCGCCAAUGUUUCUAAAAAGGUUUCUAUAUAAUUAUUUUGCCCACUAUAUUAGGCUUUUGUCUACUAAGUGACAAAAACGACCUUGCAAUAUGGUUUGCCGUUCAUGUGUCUUAAUUUCCUUUACUUUGAACUAGGAAAAUGAAAAUGGCCUCAUUGAAUAAUUUUAAAAUUUUUGGUAGGUGAUUUGGCAUGAGAAUUAGUAUAGUGGGUUAACUAAGAUUUUCAAAAUGUUUAUUGACCAGUAGUGCACUUUAACGUAGUGGCCUACUUAAAACUUUUGUUAAGUGAUCAAAACUUUACAAAGUCAAUAGUUUAAUGGACUCUUAAGCUUUUUACCAGGUGCAUUGAAUCUUAUUGUUGUAAGUUAAUUCAACAUUUUUUUUUAAGUGUAAGUGUGAGGACCCGAAUUUUUAUUUUACUUACUUUUAUUUUAUUUUACUGGCUUAUUUAAUUAUUUAUUUAUCCAUUUAUUCCGAAUAAUUUAUUUCAUCCAUUUUAAAUCCAUUUACAUGGAACAAUAUCUCACUUAUAUUUUCAAAAUGUCAGGAUCGAAGACAACCUAAGAGGAGGGUGAAUUAGGUUAUUUAAAAACUAAUCAAAUUAUGAGACACUUUUUGACUCAAUAUGAAAUUUACCCUCUUUUCUCGAUGACCACACAAUGAACAAUUGAUUAAGAAAGCAAGAUUGCUAUGGAGUAGAAGAGAUAAUCAAUUUAUGUUUGUAAAAUAGUAAGCAAAAGGGAAAGAAUAGCAAACCAAAUAUUUCCAAGCUCCUCUUGAGCUUGAGUAUCACUUUAUAGAACAAGUCUCUUCAAGUUGAUCAAAUACAACAAAUCUUUGUGUACAAAGGAAGGAUCACUUCCUCCUUACCCCAAACUAUACUUGGUCAAGUUAGGAAGUCUUACUAUCACUCGGAUAACCCUCACAAAUCUACACUAUUGAAGUAUAUUUCUCACACAAGAAAAGAUUACACGAAAUUCACACAAACAACAGUACAAAUCUUCUUUGAAGAGUAUUUUCUCACUAAAAUCACUCUAGAUCUUUUGUAGUUUCAAUAUGCAAAAGUAUUUGGAAAUGGUUGACCAUGCUCUAUUUAUAUGAGACCAAAAAAUUCAUCUAUUAAUGCUUCCAAUGGAUAGAAGGCAGUUGAAAAGUCAACUAGCCGUUGGUAGUGUCGGACGUCCGGUAGACCUGUUUCUUGCGUCCGACAGCAAGCAGUGAGCUCAAGAAGUUUUCUUCAAUUCUUUCAGACGUCCGGUACCUUCAAUGUUUGCGUCUGAAAGUAGAUAGUGAAACUGAGAAUUCUUCUUCAAUCCUUUCAGACGUUCGGUGCCUCCAAUGUUUUGUGUCCGAAGUGUCGCAAUAUUUGUCGGACGUCCGGUGCUCUAAUAUUGUACAUCCGAUCGAAGUCAGUGACCUUAGAAGGAAUGACUUAAUUUCUUCGGACGUCCGAUCCCGUCUUCACGAGCGUCCGACAGCUUUCAUCACUCUUAGUUUCUUUCAGUUGUACUUAGUCUUUGAACCUGAUUUGUUUCAUUGCUGAAAAGAUCUUUGAGAAAAUAUUAGUAACAUUCAUUUGUUUUGUAAACAUGAAAAGUUAGGGACUAAGAUUAACAAUUUUUCUCUUUUUGAUGAUGACAAAACAAUGGAUGGGAAAAAAAAUAAUUGAGUCAAAACUCCCCUUACAUAAUGCAUCCAAAAAGUUUGUAAGUACACACUCCCCCUCAGGAUAACUCUCCCUCACAUAUUUACCAGAUUACACUUCCAACAUAAUCUUAACAUCCAUUUCUCCCCCUUUUUGUCACCAAUCCAAUUAUCAAUAUACCACAUCAUACCAGAAAAUCAACAUCAAUGUUAUCAAUAACAUAUUGAUGAUCCAGCAUUAACAUCAUCAAUGUCAGCAACCAAUAUCAGCAUUAACCAAUCACUCAACAUUAUCAAUAUCAACAGCCAAUAUCAGAAAUGCCAUUUGAUAUACCAACGUCAAAAAAAGCAGAAAUACACUUGACAGACACAGAGAAUUGAUAUCAGAGAUCAGUAAUCUCACAGGUAUACCAAUCAUUCAGCACUCAUUAGCCCAAGAACAGAAUUAACCAAACAAAAGGUAACUGACAAAAGUAACCAAAAACCAUCAAAAUAUAAAAGUUAACCAAAUAAGUUACAAACCAACAGAGUUAACCAAAUAACUAAAAAUCUGAGUACAGAGUACUUGAGAUGUCAAAAAACAAAAGAUGCAAAUGUCUACUAUGAGGUGCCAUCCUAAAAUGAAGUGCAAGAGCCUAAAGGUGCCUAAAUGGUGAUCUUGGACGAUCCAGGUCUCCUCCUUGGUAGGCGAAACUGAGCAGGAUCCACUUAUUCUUCUUCAGUUUCCUCAUCAUCAUCACUGUCUUCAGUUGCAGGAGCCUAGCCCUUAUCUUGUGGCUGAGAACUGGAAGCAUGAACUUCUAGAGUGGGUUCAGUAUGCGGAGUGUGCUCAGAUGGCUCAGUUCUCGGUUCCUUUUGAUGCACAAUCUCAUCUUCUUGAGGGAUAGGAGGCACAAGCAAGUUCUUUUUGUCAAUGAAGGUAGCUUGUUGCUCAGGUGAAAUGGUCAUCAUCAGACCAUCUUCGAGAAGGAGAAUAUGCUGUUUGAGAUCCUCAAGCAAGGAGAUGACCUCAGAGUUAGAUGAAGAAGGUUGAGUGGAUGAUUCUAGAAUGGAUAGUAAAAGGUGAAACAAAUUUAGACUAAUAUUUUUUUUCUAAAUUUAGAACCUCAAGCAAGGAGAUGACCUCAGUGUGUUUCUAAAUUUAUAUCUUCUUGAGAUUCUUUGAAACAAAUAUAGACUGAUAUUUGUUUCAAAAAAUAUGAGAUUCUUUGUUUCAAAUUUUGAAAAGACUAAAUUUAGACUGAUAUUUUGAAAAGGGUGAAACAAAUUUAGACUGAUAGUAAAGGGUGAAAAGACUGAUCUCAAAGAAUCUCAUAUUUUGUCUUUCAAAAUAGGCUUUUGAAAAGACAGUGGAUGCACUCGCUUUUGGUGACACUCCAGUGAAAGAAAUCUUAAAGUGGGCAAAGAUUGGAAUUAGAAAUUUUCCAUAGGAAAGUUUCCUACGACUAUCAGUACUGAUUUUGAGUAAAAACUUGCACAUAACAAAGCCGAAGUCAAUUCUGAUCUUUUCAAGAAAGCAAUAAAAUAAGUAAAGCUCCAUUUUGUUGGCAUCAAUCCUAUGACCAUCAGUAGGAACCAACACAUUUGAAAUUAUUGAAAAGAUGAUCAAAUUUUGAGGACUGAGAUCCUCCAAUUUUACCUCAGCAGGAGUGUUAAAGUGUGUUCAAAAAUAGGUCAUGAGUUUUGCAACAUGAAAAUGAUGAUAGGCAGAAGAAAACUCUUCAUAAGAGAAAAAGUUUGUAAUUUUUUCUUUAAAACCAUCUUCAAUUUUGGUCUUUAAAAUAGCAUUAACAAUGUCAGGAUUAAAAGCAAUAUCGACUGAAUUGACUCGAGAAACAAGAUCAGCGUGUGAGUUACCCUUCCUAAGAUUGGCAAAGAAUUAGUAAAGCAUAUCAGGAUAGUAAGUGUUGGGAAUGGUCAGAAUGUGAAUCCAUUUUUGGAAUUCAAAAAGCUUAAUAACUGGUUCAAAAUCAAGUUUACGGAAUUCAUAGGGGAUAAUGGUCCUUUGAGUGAUGAAGCCUUUCUGUAAAAUCCAUUCAAACCUCUCCCUGGCAUCAUCAUUAAUGAAUUUCGGUAAUGGAGUAGGUUCUUUUUCAGUUUGAGCCUUAGGUUGCUUUCUGGUAGGGCGUUUCCUCUUUCCACUGUGUUGAGCAGAUGGUACACCAGUCUGUACAUUAGUCCUUGUUCUUAGUGAUUUCCUCAGCAGUUUGUUGUUCCUCAAUUUGUUCAACAGAAGGUUCAGUGGUUUGCAGUUCCUUAGUUUGAGCAGUCCAUUUCUUUCUGGCAGACUACGUCCUUUUUCCACCACAUGCCUUAGUUCCUUUUCUGGGUGAUUUCGUGGUGGAAGGUUCGACAAUCUCAAUGUUUUCAUCCCUUAGUCUGGUAGUGCGUCCGGCAUUAGCAGAUCCUCCUCUUACUCUAACCAUGAUGAUAUGCAGGAUAUUUUUUUUGCAGAGUAUGAUGCGAAUGUGUAUGAGAUGGACUUAGAGUGCGGUAUAGACUAUAAUGUAUGCAAGUAUGCAACAAUUGUCCAAAGAGAGUGAAUUUUGAGAGACUAAGGUUUCGGCUGAAAAUUGGGAUUUGUGGGGUGGUUGGCAGUUGGAGGAAAUUAUGAGGUCUAAUGGACGCGCAAAAGGAAUGUAAUGGUGUUGGACAGAUCAAUUUCUUGGAACUUGUUCAGAAGGGAGAUUAAUUUUUGAAAUUUGAAAGUGGGAGAAGAGGAAGGGUUGCAUCCGAGACAAUGGUUAAAAAUGAAUUGAAUGAAUGAGAGAAUUGUUUUAUAAUACGCAUCUUUAGAGUGUCGGAUGGCCAAAUGAAGAGAAGCGUCGGACACAUCGGUCCGAACCAAAAUUUUUCUAGAAAAAUGACCAAGAACACUGUCAGACGUCCGUUCUAAUGCAUCGAGCGUCCGAUAAAGUGUGACCAGAGAGAAUUCUUUAGAGAAUCUUUUCUAAGACGCCCAAUUUUGUUCUCAAAAAUACAAAUUAGUCCAAUGGUAAGGCUUUUGUAAGAAUAUCAACAAUUUGAUCUUUUGAGCAAACAUAUUGUACACAAAUUUCACCCUUUUGGACAAUAUCAUGAAUAAAAUGAUGCUUUAUGUUUAUAUGUUUUGUCCUAGAAUGUUGAAUGGGAUUUUUUGUCAAAUUUAUGGCACUUGUAUUAUCACAAAACACAGGCACACAGUCAUACUCUAAUCCAAAAUCAUUUAAGGUACUUUUCAUCCACAUCAAUUGAGCACAACAAGCAUCAGCGGCAACAUAUUCCACUUCGACCGUAGACAAGGAGAUAGCAUUUUAUUUUUUACUAAGCCAUGACACUAGACAAUUACCAAAAAAGUGACAUGUACCACUUGUACUUUUUCUAUCUAUCCUACAACCACCCAAAUCAGCAUCCGAGAAACCACAUAGAGGAAAUUCACGACAUCUUAGGUACCAAAGACCAUAGUUCAAAGUUCCUUUCAAGUAUCUAAAGAUUCUUUUUAUAGCAAUCAAAUGAGAUUCUUUUGGACAAGAUUGGAAACGAGUACACAAGCAAACAGCGAACAUAAUAUCAGGUCUACUUGCGAUUAAAUAAAGUAGGCUACCAAUUAUACCUCUAUACUUCUUUUCAUCAACUUUUAUACCUUCUUCAUCCUUGUCAAGCUUGGUAGAUGUGCAUAUUGGUGUUCCAACUUGUUUUGAAUCCUCCAUUCCAAAUCUUUUGAGCAGCUCCUUGGUAUAUUUAGCUUGAUUUAUGAACUUACCUUCUUGAGUUUGAACCACUUGUAGCCCAAGGAAGAAAUUCAAUUCUUCCAUCAUACUCAUCUCAAAUUCUUUUUGCAUAAUAGUGGAAAAAUCCUUGCACAAACACUCAUUAGUAGCACCAAAGAUAAUAUCAUCAACAUAUAUUUGUACAAUUAAGAGAUCAUUGGAACUUUGUUUAGUGAAAAGAGUGGUGUCCACAAUACCCCUAUUAAAACCAUUCUCAAUCAAAAAGCCACUUAACCGUUCAUACCAAGCUCUUGGAGCUUGUUUUAAUCCAUACAAAGGUUUUGAAAGCUUAAACACAUGAUUUGGAAAUAUUUCAUUCUCAAAACCGGGAGAUUGGUCAACAUAAACCUCUUGAUCAAUAAAACCAUUUAAGAAAGCACUUUUAACAUCCAUUUGAAAUAAUUUAAAAUUCUUCAAACAUGCAAAUGUCAAAAACAUUCUAAUUGACUUUAGUCUAGCUACGGGUGUGAUACCCCGACUUUUAGGAUACUAUUUUUGUUUAAUCUCAAAGAGAAUAUUACGUUUCUUUAUUUUAUUGUUUUGUUUUACAAACUAGAAACCCUAAAUUCUAGAAACCCUAAAGUCUAAUCAAAACUCCAGUUUCACUUGUGACUGACCGUUUUUUCAAAUUUCUCAUAUUUCAAUCGAAACCCUAAAUUCAAUUUAUGGAAUUGUAAAAUCCCUCACGUUUUUCUUAAAAAUCCCCUUUUAUUUGGAACUUAUGAUUUUAUAAUAGCCUUACUACCCAAUCACCCCACAAUAAGUGCAAAUGAAUAUAGAAGUAAGGGUUUUUCCUUUUCGUUUUAAAGUUAGCGCGAGUUAGGGUUUUACGCCUAUCUGUAGUGCGACUAUCCGGUACAAAAUGGGGAUCAAAUUUGGUUAUUAAAAGUGAGUUUUAGAUGAUAUUAAGUGUGUGACUAGAAGUGAUAAUAAUAAGUUAGUGAAUUAUAAGUUAAAAAUCUAGUAUACGCGAUUUAAGGAAAAUCGGCUAGGACCGACGGGUGUCGUGCGCUACCGAUUGAACACACCACUUGAACACUACUUUAUUACCUUCAUCUCCUUACUUUGAUAUCAACAAAAAUCACCCCAAAAUGCCCUUCAAGGUAGCCGAAAUUUUUUACCAAGAGAGAGGGAAAAAAAAGGGAAAAAUGAGUGGAAUUUGGUGGAGACACUUGUUGGCCAUCUAAGGGCCUUUGACCAAACUAAUUGUCUUGCCUUCUUAUCUUCAUUUGGCUCCGUUUCUUCAUCAUUUUAUUCUUGUCUUGGCCGAGAGAGAGAGAGAGAGAGAAAAACAAGGGGAAGAAACUCCAUUUCAUCUUGAGUUUGAUUCACUUAAGUGAGAAAACAAGAAAUCUAAACCGAUUAAUCAAUAGUUUGAGAGCUUGGGAAGUUUAAAGAACCAAAAAUUUCAAAGAGAGGUGGAGGAUAUCCUUGGAAAGCUUGUUCUUGAGGUAUAUUGGCUGUCCCUUAUCUUUGGUUCUUUUACUUUUGUUUAAGUUGUUAUAUAACUCAUGAUGUGGUUAAAUUGGUAGCUAUGGAAGUAAUUGUGGUGAUUUUGGGAGAAUUGGUGAGUUAGGGUUUUGAUUUAUUCCCUUAUAUUUCUUGUGGGUUAGGUGUUAUAUGAUAUGUAUAUAUGGUAUAUAAUCUUGUAAAGGAGAAAGUAGUGGUAAUUUUAAGGUAAAAAUGUGAAUUAUAACUUGAAUUGUAGAAAAUUCCAGAUUUCUGGAAAUUCAAGCUUCAGUUCUGCCUGGUUCCAGUUCGUGAUGUUAGAGGCCGAAUUAGGCUUAGUACAAAACAUGAAAGUUGUAUAUAAUAAUAUUUUAUGAUUUCCUACCAAAUUUCAACUCAAUCGGAGCAACGUAACCUGUAAAAAGACAAAAAUACCCCUGACUGCCAUAGGAAGAACUUUAGGGACAGUUUUGAUAUUUUACCAAUCUGACCGCGUCUGUUCACCUUGAUACGUACUGAACUAGCUUUUAGUCAACAUAUGAAAGUUGUAGUCUAUGUCUUAGAUUUCCAACGCCCCUGGAAUCGCCUCGAUUGGACUCCGGUAGCCUGAGUUAUUGUCAUUUACGCAUAAGGCGGUUAACAAGCCCGAAUGUGAGAUUCUGGUUCUAUCAUUUGAGAUUUUGACUUAGAUACACUACAAACUGGACUGAGUGGUCUUCAUCAAAGUUGUAGGCCUUUAUCUUAGUUUCGAAACGGUAUACAUUUCACCCCAAUCCGAUAAGCAUAGCUUCAGUUGUGCUCGUUACGCUAAGUGACGGCAAAUCUGUCUUUUGAUUUAUGCCUUACAUUUCAUUUCCGGACAUGUACCUAGUUUAAUUUCGUACUUGUAUGAGUUUGAGCCUAUGGAAUGGCUAUUGAAGUGAGAUUAUCUUGUGUGUGACUUGGGACUAUUUGAGGAAAAUAUUAAAGCCAUAAAUGGCUGGAAAAUAGGUAAACACAAGGAGCAUGCCGCCAAAUUUUCGUUAGAAAAAUAAACUAGCCUUUGGAGUUCUAUUUCUGUAUUUUGCAAAUUUGACUUGUAUACACUGAAAACUGGAUUGAGAGGUCUUCAUGGAAGUUGUAACAUUUUGUCUAAGUUUCGAGACACUACCAAGUACAUUUUGAUCCGAUAACCACAGCUCCAAUUAUGGUCAAAAUCGUCUAACUCGUUUUGUACCAUUUUCAUUAUCAUGCACGUGCACGUGCAUUUCUCAACCGUUUUUGCCGUUUUGGACCGUUUAGGUCUACUUUUGUUAUUUUUUUGCCAUUCCGGCCGUUUCGGCCAAUUUCGACAUUCUGUUGGCCUUAACAUUAUUUGUACCGUUUUUUAUUAGUUUCAACCGUUCUCGAUCGUUUCAGUUAUAAACUGCUAUUGUAUGGCCAUUCCACUUAUAUGUGUAUAUAAUCUGUCAAUACAGACUGUGAGGCUUUUGACGGUGACGGUCGAGCUCAGUGAAACAAAAGAAAAAGGAAAAAAACAGAAAAAGGGAAAAAGAGUGAAAAUGACAAGUGGGGAGGCAUGCAUUUGGACAAGUGUCCCCUUUGGAUAUUAGACAACAAGGCACCUAAAGGGUUAAAGGGUAGACACUUGGAGGCCCAACAAAAAAAAAGAAAUAACAAAAAAAAAGAGAGGGGCGGCUAGGUUUUGGGCAUGAAGGCUUCAGCGAGUGGGGAGAAGAAGAAACAAAAGAAGAAGAGCGCGACGGACAAAAGAAAGGAAAAGAGGGGAGAGGGCAAGAAAAGUUGGUGGCGGAAAGAGGGGCUUCGGCUAAGAAAAAGGGAGGACAGAAAACAGAAAAAGCAGAGGAAAUUGAGAGCUUGAAAGAAAAGGGGGAAAAGAAAAACGGCCGAGAGGGUGGAGAGAAAAGGGAGUGACGCUAGAACAGAGGGCCGAGAGAGGGAGAUGGAGAAAGAAGAAGAAACCAAACAGAGGAACCAGGCGGCGGGCUAAGCAACGACCAAAAUGAAAAAACAGAGGUGGCGGACAGAGGGCUCUCGACUGAAAAGAACAAGAAAAACAAGGGAGUAAAGACCGAGGAAAAAAGAGAGCUUCGGGUGGAGGAGGUUUGUGCCAAGAAAAAAAAUAGAGGGAAGACUCCAAUGGCGGCUAGGGUAGAGGAGAACAGCGGAAAAAGCAAUAGAGAGCUGAGGAAGCGAGAGGAAAGAGCAGCAGCGGGAAGAAAAUAUUUUCCAGAAAAUCUGCUAUUCAUGCUGUUUUUUUUUUUUAUGCCUUUGGAGGCAAUUUUCUCUAAGGGAUCGGCUCCUUAUUGGAGAAUUUAGGUGAUCUGGAACAUCUACUAAGUCAGAUCUUGAACUUUUGUUCAAGGAUGUUUACAAAAUAAUACUGGGAGGGCACACGAGUGGCUGCUCGAAGCAGCCUGCUCACCAAGGCGGCGGUUACGGCGACAAAGUUCGCGACUUUCAUUUCUGGAAUUAGCGCGGCUUCUUGGGAGGUGCUGCACGUUCAUUCUACUUCUCUAAGGUAAUCACAACUCCUCCUUUUGUUGUUUUAGCGCUGGUUUUCAUAUGCAUAGCCAUGAAUACUGAGUUAUUUGUUGCUGUCAAGGUUGGAGAACCUGGGUUGUUAUAGUUAUUUUCCCUUCCUUGUUGUCUUGCUGAUCAUCCUGUUUGAAAUCUGGGUUACAUGAGCUUGUGAGAGACUGUGAAUCAUGUGUUUGAAGUACUACCAUAUCAUUUUAAUUAUCACAGUGAUUUUUUGAAGCGUAACUUGGGACAUGUUUCGAUGAUUUGUUUUGAUGAAAAUGGUCUAUUGUCCCUUUGUUUGCAAACCCGAAGGGACAUAAAAGAGAAAGGGGUUUUUGAUGAUUUGAUUUUGCCAAAGCUUUAGACUAGUUUGAUGCUUGAUAGUUCAAUGGGUUGGUUGAAAGAUGUUAGCUUUCGAUAAGCUCAUCUAGGACUCACCGCAAAACUGUUUCUUUUUCUCUUUUGUUGCAUGCUGCCCAUUUGGUUAUUCGUUUGAUAUUCAAUGAUUGUGAUUCCUGCAUCUUGUGUUGUAUUAAUCAAGUGAUUUGAAUUUUAAUGGAUUGGGUUAAUGAAUUUUCUGGGUUGGUUUGAGAUGGCCGAGAGUUGCCACAAUAAGGUUGGAACUCUCUGUCUUGUUGCUGCAACAGAAUCGAGAGCGGCUUUACUGCUAGAGCUCUUGGUUGCUUGAAGCUUAUGAUUUCUUUGGUAUUCGGUUGAUCUACUGUGUGCAUGUUUGUCACGAGUUUCUCUCUUUGUGCCUCCGCUGCAUUUCACAUUUAGUUGCAUCAUGGAGCUGCUGAUGUUUGUAGUAUUUUCCUGAUGCAUGUAAUCUCAUGCGUCUCUCCUGCUGUAUGUAUUUUGGGUUAUCUCUAUCGCCUUAAUCGUACCCAUGGAGUGUUUUAUCAUUGAGUUUUGUUAAGAGAGAGUUUGAGUUCUUGGUGUUGAUGAAUCAAUGGGUUUGGGUUAAAUGAGAAAAGAUGCAUAAGGAAUGGUAGCUGAAAAUAGCAGAAGCAUGAGAAAGCUUCGUAACAUGCAUGUAAAAAAUUUCAGAAAAUUGCAUGUUUAACCCCAGACUUUGGCGGAAUGCUACUAUGGCCCAUAAGAUUGGAAAAGUUAAACAAUUUUGUCCCUUUGACAUGUUGUUUUCUCUUGGUAUGCUUUAAUUUGAUUCUUGGACAGAAUAUUUCAUGAGUGGUGGAGUGAAUUUUCGGAGAUUUAAUGAUUUAUGACAGUUUCAUAGUUUUGGUACAAAUUUGGGAAUUUGAUUGUUUAAAUAUAGAGAUUUGUUUCUUAUUCUUCUCCUUGUGAAAUUUUGGCAUUUGGUUUUAAUACAUCUCAUUUUAAGCCAUCAAUUCUAAAAGUUUAUUUUAAACCCUUUGCAAAUUUGUUAGUUAUCUUAAUUAGGUCCCUAUUGCUCUAAUUUCUUGCGUAUAGAUGAUUUUCAUUUUAUAAAAUAUUUAAGUGAUUACAUUUUGUGUUUAUUUUUCAUUUCAUGUUUAAUUUCCAUUUUUAUGCUUAAUUCUCGUUUCAUGUAAUUAUUUGUUAAAUUAAAGUGGUGCCUUGACCUUGUUAUUGUUUUGAAGCUAAUUCUUCCUUCAUUUGAUUACCAUUGCAAUGGAGGUACACUUUAUCCCUUAUUCUUGCCUUUAUUUGACCCUAUGUGCCUUAUGUGACUUUAUGUGCUCAAUUGCAUGCCUUCAUUUUAUUUAUUUAUUUAUUCGCUUUAUUUGUUUUAAUUCAGUAUAUUUAUUUUUAUUUUAUUUUAGUUCAAUCUUGAUCAUUUGAAAGGCACUUGAAUGCCAAAGUUGUAAUAGCUAGGUUAUUAUUUUAUUCCGUUUCCCCCUCUUAGAUUGUAGUAGGCUCCCCCCUUUUUUGUAAUAGUUAGAGUUUGUUUGCUUUAAUUGCUUGGUGUGAUUUACAUGCUUACGUGCUAUGUGUUACCGCUUUCUUAGGGUCUUGCAUCUAGAUGGCAUGAUUAUGUGUUAUGUGUUUAUGUGAUAUUAUGUGUUUACUCGCUUUAUUAUGUUUUAUGAGAUUAUAAUUAAUGUGUGACGUUAUCACACUAGUCCAAUGCUAGUUGUGAUCCAUUUCCCGAUACCACACUAGUCCAACGCUAGUUGUGGCUUCCUUGUUCGAUUUCUCAUUAGUCCAACGCUAGUGAGAAAGUAGAAACAUGGGCUAGUCCAACGCUAGACCCUUAGGAGCCCUUCGCGCGUUAGAUCAUGAUUGUGUGAUCACUUCAUCUCAUGCAUAUCUUUACUUUUUAUGGCCUCUUUCACCAUAUUGCAUGACACUUUCCUUAUAUAUGUAUACCCCGUCCUCCAUAUUUUCCCUUAUAUGAAUAUUACUUGCCCCUUUUUGUAUGAAACAUGACAUUAGACUUGCAUUUCAUAUAAACAUUAGAAUUAGGUUAAAUCAUUUGCUUGAUUAGAUUAGGGAUACCCCUUGAAUAUGGGAUAUGGACGAGUUUGGCUUUUCUAGCCUUAGCACGCUCGUAUUCCCUCUAUUAAAGGGAAAAUUGAGUCACGAACAUUAGUCCACCGUACCCGACAUGAUGCAUUCCUUUAAGACAUGUAUAUUUGUAUAAUUAUUUUAUUUCUUUUCUUUUCUUAGAGUCUCAUAUUUUUGCAUCAUUCGUGACCUUUUCAAAGAGUCCGCAUUGGGCAUCACAAUUCAUGUGAUUGGCACCACUCAAGUUUUGAAGAGAAAUUUUGCCCCCCGAUGUCCCCCUAGGUCUAGGUUUUGCAUUCAUAUAGUGCAUCCAAAUGUGAUAAAUGUUUUGGUUAAAACAAGAAAAGUUUUUGACUAAAUCGCGCAACUAGCCUUGGCUAGGUCGAAGGGGUGCCUUGGAUUUUUAUCCUUGCCUUCCCCUUCGUCAAAUGUGACUCCCGAACCUUUUUCGUUGGUUUACGUAGACUAGGAGUCGUUUAAAAGGGGUUUCUUUCUACCUUUUCCUUUAAAAAAUUCAUUUUUAGGUGACUUGGUACACCUUAACUCUAUAUCAAGUGGCGACUCCAAUUUUUAUUUCAAAAACCCUUUUUAAACUAUAUUUUGGGUCAAAUCGUCGCAUUUCCAAGUCCCAUUUAAACCCAUAUUUUUCUUCAUUUUUUCUUCGUAAAACAAAAUUCAUUUUUCAAACAAAAAUUCACUUUUUAAACCAUUUCAUUUAUUUUUCAAAAAAUGGGGCGCGACACCACCCGUAUCCUACCAUUGUGAUGUUACAUUUCCGUAUUGGUGUGCAAUCUUUGGAUUUAUAUGUUUAAUUGAAUGUGUUUUUACAUUUUACCCCAAUUAUUCACUAAGCAUAUAGCUUACCCCGUUCCAUUUGUUUUCCUUAGUAGGGGGCCGACACGGGGAUCGCUUGGGAAGGUGUUUAGACUUUCGGCUCUAGAAUAGUUGAUUUGUACUUGUUAUAAGUUGACUAGUAAGAUGUAUCUAGUUGUUGUGGUGGUUGUCGUUAUCAACUUUUUUAGGGUUUACUUUCUAGUACUCGUGGUAUGUAUGACUUGAUGUAUUAGUUUAUGCAACUUUUGCAGAUGUAAUGGAGUAACUAGAACUUUCUUUUAGCGUGCAAUCUAUUUUCUCAUUUUAAGUAUAGAGUCCUGGCGCGAGCUAGGCAGGCGUCCCGCCGAUACCCUCGGGUUCGUCCUUGGGAGAAGUGGGGGCGUCACAACGGGAUCAAAUGUUUCAUCAAAGUCUAUUCCUUCUUCUUGAGCAUACCCCUUAACUACAAGUCUAGCCUUAUUUCUCACAACUUCACCUUUGUCAUUCAUUUUGUUUCUAAACACCCAUUUUGUGCCAAUAAUAGAAUGAUUUUGAGGUCUUUCAACUAGUGUCCAAACCUUACUCCUUUCAAAUUGAUUUAGUUCCUCUUCCAUGGCCAAAAUCUAGUUUUCAUCUUUCAAGACAUCAACAACAUUUUUGGGUUCAAAAUGUGAGACUAAGGCAAAAUUAUCCAUCAAUUGCUUAGUGGAGGAACGAGUUCAAACCUUUUCGGAUGGAUCACCAAUGAUAAGCUUCUUGAGAUGAUUUUGAGCAAACUUCCAACCUCUUGGAAGAUCCCUAGGUGUACCGCCAUCCUUGACAUUUUCUUCCAAAGUUUGAUCAUCCUUUGAAUUGUCUUCUAGUGGAGCAUUGUCUUGAUCAUGAAUUGUGAGCUUCUUGAGUCCCUCUUGAACACCUACAUCAUCAUCCUCACAACAAUUCUUGAAAAUAUCAUCAUUAGAUUCAUCAAAUGUGACAUGUAUGGCUUCCUCUAUGACAAGAGUCCUUCUAUUAUAGACUCUAAAACCUCUUUUGUUUUCACAAUAACCCAAGAAGAUCCCUUCAUCAGAUUUCUUAUCAAAUUUUCUAAAGUGUUCCUUGAUAUUUAAAAUAAAACAUUUGCAACCAAAAACUUUGAAAUAACCAACAAUUGGCUUUUUAUCAAACAUUAACUCAUAAGAGAUUUUGUUCAAAAUUGGUUUCAAAAGAACUCUAUUCAUAGCAUAACAAGCCUUAUUUACGUCUUCGGCCCAAAAAUAUUUUGGCAAAUUGCAUUCACUUAACAUGGUUCUCGCGGUUUCUUGAAGAGUUCUAUUUUUUCUUUCAACAACACCAUUUUGUUGUGGAGUUCUUGCAAUAGAAAAUUCAUGAGUGAUCCCAUUAUGAUCACAAAAUUUCAAAAAAUCACAAAAUUUAAAUUCCGAGCCAUUGUCACUUCUUAUUUUAAUAAUUUUCAACCCAAUCAGAUUUUGAACUUUUGCAAAUAAGGAAACAAAAUUUUUGGAAGCAUCAUCUUUGUGAGCAAGAAAUAUCACCCAAGUGUAUCUAGAAUAAUCAUCAACAAUAACCAAACAAUAUCUUUUACCACUCAAACUAGCAAUUUGGGUAGGACCAAACAAAUCAAGAUGUAAAAGUUCCAAAGGUUUUGAAGUAGAAACACAUUUUUUGGGUUUAAAAGAAACUUUUACUUGCUUCCCAAAUAGACAAACAUCACAAAUUUUGUCCUUUUCAAAAUUAAUUUUUGGCAAACCUCUAACAAGUUCCUUUUUGGAAAUUUCUUUUAACAAAUCCAUAUUGAAAUGACAAACUCUUCUAUGCCACAACCAAGGGUCUUCAUUCUCAACUUUAAGACAUUUAAAACUAGAUGAAUCAACAUUUUCAAGAAUAACUACAUAGAUGUCAUUUAUCAUUUUUCCCUUGAAGAUAAUAUUAAACUUAGAGUCAAGAACAAGACACUCAUACUUUUUGAAUAACAUAAACAGAUUUCUAUCAUACAAUUGACUAACACUUAACAAGCUAUAGUUCAGAUUAUCAACAAGAAGGACAUUAUGAACAAAAGUUUGACCAUUCUUACCAACAUCUCCUAUUCCAACUGUUUUGACUUUGUUAUCAUCCCCAAACGUUACUUUUUCACUUGAUUUUGACUUGAGCUUGAUGAAUUGUGAUGGAUCACCGGUCAUAUGCGUUGAACAUCCACUAUCAAUGAACCAUUUUGAUUCCUUAAUGAUGUUCACCAAGUUCACCUACAUAAAACUUCACAAGAUAAUAUUUGGUACCCUUUACUUUUUGGGUCCUUGAGAGUUAGCAUUAUGUCUAACUAUCCACAUGCAUUUCAUGUCAUUUCUCAUAUUCUUUCUUACAUAGCAAUUACUCUUCAUGUGACCAAUUUGACAACAAAAACUACACAUAGUCAGCGAAUUACUUGUAUGGACAGGUUUAACAAAUCUGACUUGUUUUCUCCUAUAAAUGGUAAAUUCGUUUGCACUAGAAUUCUGCCUUUUCUCAUGAAUGCCAAAAUGAGAUAUUGAUUCAUUCCUUUGAAAGUUGUGUUGAAGCAAAUCAUUUAGACAAUCCAUUCUUUUUUUCAAGUCACUUUGUUCCUUUUUAAACAAAUCACAAAUCUUUGUUUUUCUAUCAAGCUCAAAAAGUAAAACAGUUUCAUUCUUUUUGAAGUGAUCAUUUUCAUCUUUCAAAUUCUUGUUUUGUCGAAAAAGAUUUGCAUUGUCUUGAAUAAGAAAAUUGAUAUUUUGUUUUAGUUGUUUGUUUCUAGCACAGGAUUCUUUCAAACUAUCAUGCAGUCUCUCAAUGAAGGAAUUAAUAUUUUCAUCAGAUUCAUCAUCACUAUUAAGUUAAGAGUUGCAAGUAGUUACCUCAUCAUCACAAAUGGCCAUGAAAGCCAUUUGAGUAUAUUCUUCUUCCUCUUCAACAUCACCGUCCGAGUUGCAAUCAUUCCAAGUGAUUUGAAAGUUGUUGAAUCUAGGUUUUCAUUCAACAUUUCCUUCUCUCUUAUUCUUCAUUGGGCACUCAUUCAUGUAGUGUCCAAGUUGGCCGCACUCAAAGCACUUGUCAGCUUGCUUUUUAUUAGCCUCUUGGUUUCCUUUGUUUCUUGCAUUGUUGAAAUGAUUUGAAAAUGAAUUGUUGGGUCCUCCCUUUCUGAAUCUCCUCUUGUUGAGGGUUCUUUUGAAACUUCUUGUGAUAAGAGCAAGAUCAUUGUCGUCAACUUCAGCAUCAACACCAUCCAAGGAGGUCGAGUCAUCUUUAUCUUGAGAUGCCUUUAGAGCAAUGCUCCUUCUCACCUUUGCAUCAUCUUCCUCUUGUACCUUGGACUUAAACUUCAACUCUUAAGAGGUUAGAGAAUUAAUAAGAGAUUCAAUAGGCAUAGAAUUUAGAUCUUUAGCCUCUUCAAUGGCAGUCACCUUACUCUCCCAAUCUUUGGUCAAGGCAUUCAAGAUUUUUCUAUUUUUCUCACCUAGGGAAUAUUCCUUUUCCAGCACCUCUAAAUCCUUAAUGAGAUCAUUAAAUCUACAAUACAUCUUGUUAAUAUUUUCAUGAGGUUCUAUCUUGAAUGAUUCAUACUUGGUAACUAUGAUAGAUUUCUUUUAUUCUCUCACAUUCUCACUCCCUUCAUGGAUUUCUCUCAAUUUAUCCCAAAUCUCUUUGGCCGACCUACAACCUUUGACCCUAAUAGACUCAUUUGAAUUUAAAGCACUAUACAACAUAUUCAUAGCUUUGGCAUUCAAAGUAAGGUGCGUUCUAUCAUCACCAGUCAACUCAUUUCGGAUUUUUGGUCUUGGUCUAUGAGUGACUUCAUCUAUUAUAGAGGCAUCAUAUGGACCUUCAUUAACAAUAAACCACAGUUCAAUAUCAAUAGAUUACAAGAAAAUAAUCAUUCUCUCUUUCCAACUCACAUAAUUGGAUCCAUUAAACAUUGGGAGUCUAGUGACAAAUUGACCUUCAAAAAACAUAGUAUUGUUGGUUGUCAAUUUUAUUCCAAAGCCGAUUGAGCUUAAUCUCUAGGAGACCAAACUCUGAUACCAAUUGUAAGGAUCGAAGACAACCUAAGAGGGGGUGAAUUAGGUUAUUUAAAAACUAAUCAAAUUAUGAGACACUUUUUGACUCAAUAUGAAAUUUACCCUCUUUUCUAGAUGACCACACAAUGAACAAUUGAUUAAGAAAGCAAGAUUACUCAGGAGUAGAAGAGAUAAUCAAUUUAUGUUUGUAAGAUAGUAAGCAAAAGGGAAAGAAUAGCAAACCAAAUAUUUCCAAACUCCUCUUGAGUUUGAGUAUCACUUUAUAGAGCAAGUCUCUUCAAGUUGAUCAAAGACAACAAAUCUUUGUGUACAAAAGAAGGAUCACUUCCUCCUUACCCCAAGUUACACUUGGUCAAGUUAGAAAGUUUUACUAUCACUCGGAUAACUCUCACAAAGCUACACUAUUAAAGUAUAUUUCUCAUACAAGAAGAGCUUACACGAAAUUCACAUAAACAAGAAUACAAAUCUUCUUUGAAGAGUAUUUUCUCACUAAAAUCACUCUAGAUCUUUUAUUUGGAAGUGGUUGACCAUGCUCUAUUUAUAUGAGACCAAAAAGUUCAUCUAUUAAUGCUUCUAAUGGAUAGAAGGCAGCUGAAAAGUCAACUAGCCGUUGAUAGUGUCGGACGUCCGGUAGACCUGUUUCUUGCAUCUGACAGCAGGCAGUGAGCUCAAGAAGUUUUCUUCAAUUCUUUCAGACAUCCGGUACCUUCAAUGUUUGCGUCCAAAAGUAGAUAGUGAAACUGAGAAUUCUUCUUCAAUCCUUUUGAACGCCCGGUGCCUCCAAUGCUUUGCGUCCGAAGUGUCGCAAUGUUUGUCGGACGGACGUCCGGUGCUCUAAUGUUGUACGUUUGAUCGAAGUCAGUGAACUUAGAAGGAAUGACUUAAUUUCUUCGGACGUCCGGUAGUGGAGUUCUUCAUGCGUCCGAAGUUGCGCAAUGAUUAUCGGACGUCCAAUCCAGUCUUCACGAGCUUCCGACAGCUUUCAUCACUCUUAGUUUCUUUCAGUUGUACUUAGUCUUUGAACCUGAUUUGCUUCAUUGCUGAAAAGAUCUUUGAGGAGAUAUUAGUAACAUCCAUUUGUUUUGUAAACAUCAAAAGCUAGGGACUAAGAGCAACACAAAAUGUUUCGUUAGCGAAUUUAAUUUUUCUGCAACUCGUUUAGCGAGAAAUAGCGAAUAAACAUUUUUCAAGGCAAAUUCAAUCUGAGAGUACAUUAAUUUUGGAGAAUUAAGGAUGAUUAAUAGUAGACUAAGAAAAGUUAACUGAGGGAUUAGAGGUGAAUGAGUUAAAUUAAACUCAAUUAGGAGCACUAAUUGCUCAUUAUUCAAUUGUUGACUUUUGGGAACAAAAACACCUUUAUGUCAAUCUUUCUUUCACACCAUCAAAUCACCCAACUAGCACCCAAAACCUUUCUUCCUCCUCUCUCCCUUGGUCGACUCCCCCUCCCUCAUUUCUUACCAAAAAUUUCAGCUCCCUUGUCUUCCAUUUUCCUCCAAGAAGACUCUCCAAAUUUGCUUCUUUUCUUGGUUCUUCAUACAAGCUUGGAAGGUGACUUGAACAAGGAAGAAACAUUGGUGAUUUAAGAGCUUAUAUACUAGUGGUUGUUCUUCAUUCUUGGAAGCAAAGGUAAUCCUCCAAGUUCUCAUCUUUUUCCCCUCAACUAUUAGUAGUUAGUUAGUUGUUGACUUGUUGAUGGGUUCACAAGAACCUUGACACUAGGUAGAGAACUUGAGGUGGCUUUAUAGGUAGAGGCCUUGAGGAUUAUUGUGUGUUUACUUGCUUGUUUGAUGUUUAUUUUGAGAAAUUAUGGCUUAGUUUUAGUGGAAAGUUGGAAAAGAAAACUAGAAGCAUGGAUGAUGCUUGCUGUCCGAAUUUUGGCUAGAUGAAACUGUGACGCCCCCGCUUCUCCCAAGGGCGAACCCUAGGGUACUGGCGGGACGCCUGCCUAACUCGCGUCAGGACUCGAAAUUUCAAAACAAUAAAAGCUAGACAAACCAAAAGAGUACGAUUUACGUAUAUACAACCCCCAAAAGGUCUAUUUACAUCCUCAAAAGUAUCCAGUCAAACCACUAUAAUACAUUAUGAUAACAACCAGCAGGAAGUAGACCCUAAGGAGGGUCCUCAUACAAACCACCAAAACAAAAACAAACAUCUUAAUUGUCCAACUAUUACAAACUAAACCUAACUAUACUAGUGAAUGUGCCAAGGAGUCCCCCGCGUCGUCCCCUACUAAGGAAAACAAAGGAAACGGAGUAAGCUAUAUGCUUAGUAAGUAAACAGGGGUAAAAUCAUAAAUUUCACAUUUAGAUAAACAACUAUUUCACAAAAUGUCAAGUCAAGUGCAAAAGUAACAAUACAAAUGAAGGAUACAGGUUGGCUCCAAAGCCAAGUCGUUUGCCAUGCGUGACCUCCUGCCGACACUCCGUCGACCACAAAUAAGGUCCGUAGAACUCCACUUGUACACCCACCUAACACCUUAUCACCCUCACUGGCCAGUCACCUCACAAACUUGCUCGAGCGAACGAAAUUGAGCUUGGUUCACAAGCUCGGUUCACAAACUUGGUUCACAACUUGAACCUACAAACUUGGUUCACAUUCUCGGUGAACCGGAUUCACAAACUUGGUGACCUCAGACUAGGUUGGACUGGCUUCGACCAAACCCUGACCAGCUCGAAUAGUCCAUCUAGGUCGGAAGAUCAACCCCAACUUACAAACGUCACCCCGAGCUACAAGCUCAAGGGGUUCAAACCCAAAAUAAUUCAUGUAUACACAUCUCAUAAAGAAACAUAGGUACAAACUAGGGUUUAGGUCGAGUGUAAUAAAGUACACUCUCGCCUAAGUCCCUCUUUUAUUCACAUCAAAACACAUAAGCAGUUUAUACACAUAAACGGCCUGAAUACUUACUCCAAAGGUACGUAUAGAAAAAAUGCAAGGAUCACGUCACGUAUACAGCUAGUAGGCCCCACCGGCACCGUCUAGCCCGUCACCGUCUGAAAUAGAAGAUUGCAUCACAAUAUAUCACAAACGGCCACUAACAUGCAUAACUCCAGUACAACAGCAAAAUUAGCACAUGCAAGUGCGGAAACGGCACACGGAAAUGGAGACGGACACGGAAACGGAAACGGCCAGAUUUGCCAUCCCAAACCGUUUUGAUCAAAAGUUAAGCUAUAAAUGUCGGAUCAAGGUGAGUGAGAUACCGUUUUGAAGCUACGAGGAAGGGCUACAACUUUUAUUUAGACAUCUCAACCCAGAUCUGAAUGAAAGCAGGUCGAAAUCAUGGAAAACAGUACCAGAAGUUUGCAUUUUAGGAUGACAGACAGGGUCUGUUUGCUGGACCAUAACUCCCAGCUCACAAAUCCAAAUCAAGAAAUUCCAAAGGCGUUAGAAAGCUAUGUCAUAAGGAUAAAACUUUUAUGUUUUGGACAAAACCUGAAUCAACACAUAGCAUGGGGAAAAAGGGGUUCAAAGUUCCUGUCAGAACUGUCCAAAUCCGAAGGCAGUUCUGACAACCGAUCUUGUUUUGGUCAUAACUGAAGCUACGGAACUCGGAUUGGAUGAAAUUUAUACCGUUUCGAAGCUAAGACUAAGAUCUACAUUUCUUAUGAAGGGGUCAACACCCAGUUCGCACGUUAUCAAAACGGACAGAGUAUGGUCAGAAGCAAAAUUCAAAAACGUAACACAAUCCAGUGUACAAAACAGGUGCAAGUGUUUUCGCUAUAACUCGGGCUACACUGAUCUGUUUGACCUGAAAUUUUGUAGGCAUAUUAAGGACUUAAGAGGGUACAACUUUCAUGUUUUGAGAAACUUCUGAAUCCACACGCAGCAUAAAUAAAAAUGGAACUCAAGUUCGGAUUUGUGGGCUGCCCUGUUUUUCCAGAUUUGCCGGUUUUGUACGUCGCAAACGCAUGGUUCAUUUCUAUGGUUCUUAUACACGAUUUCCAACCCAAUUCAUACCAAAUAAACACACAUAUACUAACUUCUAAAUGACCUACAAAUGGUCCAAAACUUCCCCUCUAAGUCACUACAAAAUUGCCCAAAAACUAACCAUAAUCCCUAACUUAACUUUAUUUGCAUCACUAAACUUAAUCUAUCAACCUACUAACCAAACCCUAACUCACUAAACAUUAGCCAAGCUAAACUAACCUAAGGAAGCCUAGGGUUUCUUAACCCAAAUCAGUUUUUACCAUUCACUCACCAACCCAAAGAAACCAAUCAUCAAACACAACCACUACAAGUUCAAUAACACAAGAUUAAGGCCAACCAACAUGUUUAGCAUGAAACCCUAAUUAGGGCUCCUAUAGCCGAAUCAUCAAGGCCCAAAUUUAACCAAAUUACUCCAUAAAAACAAGUGAUAAACACAAGUGAAACCAUAAUCAAUCACAACUAACAACUAUUAUCAUCAUUUCCACCAUUUCAAGUAUCAUCAACCACCUUUAACUUUGUAUAGAAGCUUUCUUACCUCAAGAUGAAGGUUGUAUGAUGGCUAAGAAACUCAAGCUAGCUCCAAGAUGGACUCUUUAUGCCUCAAGAUGAAAAUCUAUGGAAGAAAUUUGGUUGAACUUAGCAAAAUUCCCCUUGGUUUCUCUCUUCCUUCUCCACGGCUCCACCUCUCUCUUGCUCUCUCUUGUUUUGUUUUGUUUUGUCUCAAUAAUGACUUAGUUAUGGCCCUUGAGACUAAUAUGUGGUGCAAGACCACUUAGGAAAGAUAUUUAUCAUUCAACCAAUCAAAUGAAAGCUUGUUUAUUGCCUCUUAACCCUUACACCUUUAUUUUCUCUUUCUUACUCCUUUUCCCCCAAACAUUGGAUAAUCUUUCAAUUAACUCCAUAGGUUAUAACUUAAUCUAAUCUAAAACACUUAACCACACUUAAUUACUUCACUAAUCACCCUCCUAUAUUAAUCACCUAUACUUAAACAUACUUUAUCCCACAUAAAAGCAAUUAAACAAUAACCUUUUUGUCAAGGCAAAAAUUAGGGGUUAAACCCAACUUAAAACUUCUAAUAAAUCAUAACACUAAAGGUUUUGCUAGCUUAGGGUUUUCUAACUUUUAAACUCACUUAACCUAUAUAAAAUGGAUCAAAUCAUAUACUUACCCACACUAAAACACACACUAGCAUAACUAACUUUAAUCACCACUCGAACUUAUGAUUAAUACAAAAACUAAGGUUUCAAUACUAACCCCCAACUUAGGGUUUUCGAAUUAGUCCCAAAACCUAAUGUUACCGCACAAAUAAUGAAUAUAACCUAAUAUCAAACUUAAGAACUGACUGGGGUCUCACAGAAACCCUCAUGUUAAUUUUGAAUUUUGUUGUUGUUUUAGUGCUAUAAUGUUUGUUAUAUGAUGGUGCUUAUGUGUGUUAAAUAUCUCCCAAAAAGCUUUACAAUUGGUUGAGUUAAAGUAGGGUUUAAGUGAGGAAGAAAUCUGGAAAAUUUUCGGACCAGGAGACCCGACCAGUGCUCACGUUUUAGGUCAUAACUUUUUUGUCUAGAAGUUGAAAUCGAGUGCCAUUUGUGGCCUCCAAAACUAGACUCCGAGGGCUUUCCGUAGGGUAUAAAAUGCACCUCAAAUUUGUUUCCUAUGAGCCAUAGUGAACCGGCAAAGAUGACUAAAUUUCCUCACUAUUUUCAUCCGAGAAACAAGCCUGGCUGCAGUUUGUAACUCAAUUUCACCUAUCUUGUGAAACAAAUUUUAAGACAGUUCCUUCUAGUGAUUUGUAGCACUUUGAAUCUAGUUUUCAACACCACAAACGACACUAAAUUUUUAGUUGUGUAGCUUUAGUUAUGACUAGAUUUUGAAACUCUGUCAAGCCUUCAAAACUGGAAAUUUCGUGCAACAGGUUCCAAAAUUCAGUUUUCUUAAAACCAUUGUAUCUUGAUGUAGAAAGGUCCGAAUUGGGUUCUGUUUAUUGCAUUUGAAACUAGAUUUGGAAUUCUAUUAGUGGUAUAAAUUUCAAGGGUUGAUUCCAUUUCUACAAAUUUUUCUGAAUUUCCAAACAUUGCUGAAAUUGCAAGCCUGUUUUGCUAUGUCCUGUCUAGAACAGUGGCUUUGAGCUAAAAUUUGAAUGAUUUCGAAUUAGAGUAUGAGAAAAGUAUCUUCUAGAGAGUUUUAGUACAUUGAGUCUAGUUUUCAAAGGUAUAAAGUUUCCAAUUUUUGGACUUACGGAACUCGAGAUAUGAUUUUUCCAAUUAGUGUCGCACCAAGCUGAAAAUUUUCUGGUUUCAACCAAAGUACUCUUUUAAACACUUUCAACCUCCCUUUGAGAUUGUAGUCCGUUUUAAGUUUAAUUUCAUGGUUUGACACAAGGUCACUUUUGAACUUUAAACCUUCAUUUUGAAUCUUGGUUUCCAAAGGAUUAAACCUCUCUUGAUGCAUUUUCUUGGUUGUUAAUUUCCUUGGUUAAUAGCACCCCUAUCCUUAUGCCCUCGAUUCUCAUGAGUUUGAAUUUCAAAAAGGGAGCAUUUUAACUAGAGUAAUUCUUGGAGAAUUUCACUAGUUUUAUACUCGAAAUUUGGAACCUUUAGCCUUGACAUUUUCUAUGAAAUGAGUGGAGAUUUGGAUGAGUUUUGACUCCAUUAGUUUGGAAAAUAUGAACGUUCUUUAUAUUCUAACUUUUGGACAUGAGAUUAAAAGUUUUGGGAGAUGGAGACUAUCUACCUUUUUUUUCAAUUUUCGUGCCAAAAGUAAAUACGGUACUUUCUUUUGGAAUUGAGAUUACCUACCAUGACUUAACUCGAAAACGGCCUUUAAAUUCUCUUUGAGUAUUAUUUCAAUGAUUUAACGAGAAAAACUCUUUUAAUUUGACUCGAACUUGUGACCUUGAGAGUGGGUAGCGAGAAAAUGUUUUCUUUAUAAUCUUGGUCGAGUACCUAGAUAAUGAUGUUUAUGCAUGUCUCAGGUGGUCACGAGAACGCCGAAGAGCUCGUCUGACUUCUCACUUUGCUCUUGUUUUGCCCUUGACUUGUAGUGCGUGUCAAGUGCAUGUUCAGUGUUAAUGUGAUUGAAAUGAUAUUGGUACAAGUGCUAUAUGAUACGUGAAUUUGCCGAGACGAAGGUGUACUUUAUCGCUCUCGUCCUCUCUUUCUUGUGAUUGAAUGAUACUUGUUAAAUGAAUAUAUAUGACUUGCACUUGUACUCGAAAUGUUUUAACUCGUGAGCACUGAGCGGCUAGAUGUAUCACGUCCUAUUUGGGUGGGAGGUACCGCUCAUCCCGAUUCAGUGCUAUGAACGAUUUUAAGUCGAUUGGAGUAUUGUCUCAUCGACCAAUCAUACUUGUGGGGACGUCCAACCCACUGGCUAACCUUGUGAUUCGAUCUGGCAAGGGCUUGGUCGAAAAUCUCAGUGAACCUUGGGAAAUGAUAUAGCUUGAUCUUCUGAGAUCUCGCUAGACAUACUCGAAUAGUAUCGCCAUUACAUGAAUAUUUGGUUACUGAUCCGAGUGGGUGUUGUUGGAUGGAGGUAGUAAGUGGAGCACUACGGUCAUGUUACUACAUGAGUUGACGGAGAGUCAACCCUAAAUGGCUUGAAUCGGUCGAGACGUGGAAAGAGCUCUUGAGAGUUUCUGUAUCCUUCCUUGUGUGUUAUUUCUACUUGUGCACUUAAAUGAAAUGUCACGUUUAAAAGUUAUUUAAAGCAUGUUAUUUGAUUGAUUAGUGUUACUUACUUGCAUGUUCAUUUUCUUGGUCUCACUGAGCAUUCGCUCAUCCCUUUAAGUUUGUUUUCCUUAUCAGGCUUUGGAGGUGGAUUGGAGGUUCUAGACUAGCGACUUGGUGGAUGCUAGUAUACCUUUUGUAUGAACUUUUCUUGGCUCUUAAAGUGUAAUUUUACUAUUGUUGGUUGAUGGAUUGUAAUCAUAACUUUUAGCUUAGAAGUUGUGACUUGUAUAUUCGAAGUACUUCUUAAUUAAAUCAAUGGUUGUUUUGUGGCUCUAUAUUAAGUUUGAACGAGUGCGUGAAUUCCGACGAGAGUUGAGCAACCGUCCCGCUAAUACCCUAGGAUUCGCCCUAGCGAGAGGUGAGGGCGUCACAAUAAGUGGGAGGAUUCAAAUCUAGAAUCUUUUACUUGCAUCCUUUCCUAAUAUCCAACAUAAGAAAACACAAUACUACAAAUAUAGAAUUUUUUUCUUCACCAUAAAAGGAAAAAACAAUUGACACUGUAAGCAAAACUAAUUUGGUAAAACCAACACCAACGUGGCCAUAAUCCUAAAUAUAUCUAUUUGUGCAUCAAUUCACCAUGUACCUAGGUCACCAGAAGUCACUAUAUAAAGACUCCCAUCCAAUUAAAAAACUUUUGUUUUGUAGGUAAUAGAGCCUUCUUGUCAUUGUGGGCAUGUUCAAUACUCCAACCUUUCUUUUGUAUGAUUCCAUGGUUACUGAAUGGCGGUUAAUAACAAAGCAGAUAUUUCUGUUAAAAGACUCCUCCUAACCAUUCAUAUAUCCCUCAAGCUGCACUGGUCACUUUCCUUUUUUUUAUUUGCCUUUAUUAAAAAGGUAAGCAAGAAUGAAAGAAGAACCAUGUGGAUAGAAUUGGUUAGUAAUACGGCCCAAUCCAAAGCCACGAAAAUAAAACGAAAAAGGAGAAAAAAAAAAAAGCAGCCUACAUUCAUUUAUCUUAACCAUUGCUGCACAAGCUAGAAGAUCGUCUUUCAGAAAUCAGUACAAAACAAUGCAAAUGUGACGCUCUUCGCAAUAUAUUCAGCAUUCCUUAAUCCAAAGCCACCCAAAAAAAAAAAACUACAUUCAUUUAUCUUAACCAUUGCCGCACAACCUAGAAAUUUGUUAUCAGAAAUCAGUACAAAACAAUGAAAUUGUGACACACUUCGCAAUAAAUUCAGCAUUUAGCACUACUUAGAAUAAUUACUCAACUGGCACUCAGAAUACUCACAUGCAGUACAAAGUUUUACCUUCCCAAUUGUAUACUAGAUGGUUUUGUAUCUCUACUGCCAUUGGGUUCUACAACCUUCAUUGAGAAGCUAUAAACAAUCAUGAUCAAUGCAAACUUCAUUGAAAAGAAACAGCUGAAAGUACGAUUGUCCAAAUCAUUAUCGUUCUAAUUCCUGUAGUUCCACU